rnacentral:lncRNA from 1 species
UUGACUGGAACGACGAAGAAGCUGUGCUAUUCCCAAACUGGGAAACUCGAAUCACAUGAUUUGAAAGUGAAAUAACUUUUUCUUGCCAACUCCUAUGAGAUAUUCAACUUCCUGGUGAUUCUCCAUCACUUUAUGUAUCCAAAUAAAGCUUCUGACAAAGUGAUUAAUUCUGGUUUGAUUGGAACGACGAAAAAGCUGUGCUAUUCCCAAACUGAAAAACUGGAAUCACCUGAUUUGAAAGUAGAAUAACUUCUUCAUCCCAACUCUUAUGAGACUUAUUAAACUUCCUGAUGAUUCUCCACCACUUUAUGUAUCCAAAUCAAGCUUCUCACAAAGUAUUUCAUCCUGGUUUGAUUGGAACAACGAAGAAGCUGUGAUAUUCCACAACCUGGAAACUGGAAUCACCAGAUUUGAAAGUGGGAUAACUUCUUCAUCCCAACUCCUAUGAGAUUUAUUCAACUUCCUGGUGAUUCUCGACCACUUUAUCUGUCCAAUUCAAGCUUCUCACAAAGUGAUUCAUCCUGGUUUGCAUGGAACGACGAAGAAGCUGUCCUAUUCCCAAACUGGGAAAAUGGAAUCACCUUAUUUGAAAGUGGGAAAACUUCUUCAUUCCAACUCCUAUGAGGUUUAUUCAAGUUCCUGGUGAUUCUCCACCACUUUAUGUAUCCAAAUCAAGCUUCUCAGAAAGUGAUUCUUCCUGGUUUGAUUGGAACGGAAGAAGCCGUGCUAUUCCCAAACUAGGAAACUGGAAUCACAUGAUUUGAAAGUGGGAUACCUUCUUCGGGUACAGACCAGUACAUCAAGUGUGGACAUUAUCUAAGAUACCAUCGCAUCCCAAUAUUUUUCCUAUCAGUUCUUUUUUCGCUAUUAUGGAUCAUCUUUUUUGGAGAGUCAAUCCAAAGAUGGAUGACCACCAAUUUGCAUGGAUAUUAUGGUAUAUAUGGAAAGGCCAGAAUAACAAAGUUUUUAGCAAUCUGGAUAUUGAUCCGAGGAAAACACUUAAAAUAGCAGAAUUGGAGUCAUCACUUUGGGCUGAGGCACAUGUAGUAAAUGACCCAACGAGGGGGCAUCAGGUACAGACCAGUCCCCCAUUUGCGACGCCAGGACGAUGGUGCUUCAUAGAUGGAUCAUGGAACUAUAAGGAUUUAUUUUCAGGGCAAGACUGUUAUAGCACUUUGCCGGGUUUUGAUGGUUUAUUAGGGCAAGGAAUGUAAGGGCAUGUCUCUUACCCCUUCAUUCGGAGGUAGAUGCAUUAAUUUGAGCAAUGGAAGGUAUGAAGAAUUUAAGACAGUUUCAGGUAACGUUUGCAACGGAUUGUUCUCAAUUGGUGAAGAUGGUUCCAGAACCAGAAAAAUUGUCAGCAUUUGAAAGCUAUCAGGAAGACAUCAAGCUAUUAAAAGGAUAUUUUCUCAACUUAGACAUCGUUCAUGUACCCCGAACGGAGAACCUACGGGCGGAUAGCUUAGCACGCGGUGCUAGAAAACAACCGUUUUUCAUCGUUUACACGGAUGUGGAGUUACUGAUUUGGUUUACAGAGUCAACAUGAGUAUGUAAAUGUUUGUUGUCAAAAAAAAAAAAUAGAUAGAUAUUAAUGGAGUUCCAAUCACAAAUAACUUUGGAUGUUCUCUCUAAUCUACUAAAAAUCCUAGAAAACCUUUGAUGUGAAAAACAAUAAAACAAGAAAGCACACCUUGCCUCUAACAUGUUGGCAAAGCUUAUAUAAUUAGGUUAAAACUCGCCAGGGAUAAUCUUGUAAAUUGGUGAAGACUUGGGAUCUAUGUCGGCUGUGAUCAUACGGGCUUUCUGCGCUUCACUGUCGAUCGAUGUCAAGAUGGGAACAUCGAUCGAUUAUUCCUCUUCAAUAUCGACCGAUGGUCGAGCUCGAUGGUCAUCUCGGGUGCUUACUCCAAAUAUCUCCAAAAUGCUCCAAAAUAAUCACUUUCCUCCAAAUCACUCAUGAUCAAAUAUAUACUCUAAAUAGACUCUAUAAUAUAAUAAUUAGUAAUUAAAACACUUAUAAACCAUGGGUAAAAGUGGGUCAAAUCCAUGGUCUAUCAAGCAGCAAGCCAUGAAGAAGCGUAUGGCUAGUACUAUGUGGAGGAGACCAUAAGUAUUGAGCCUAGGUGUGAUUAUUCAAGGGAGGCGUGUGUGAUCUGAUCAUGGGUAAGGAUGGACGACCUGAUCCAUAGAUGAUGGAUCAAGGUGUCUGAUCUGAUUGAUCAAAGGAUACAUCGGUAGUAAGAGUAAGACUGAACGACUCCACUGGGACAUGGUUCCAUGGCCAGUUAGGUAAGUGUGGGCUCUUAUCAGUUCUGAGUCAUGUGGGAUGGUUGGUUGAUUGACUUAGAAUUUGAUGGGAAUCAUUAGUCCAAUAGCUGGACUUGGUAUCAUAAGCUAAUAAGCAAAAAUGUUGUUGGAUGAUGCAUGAGCCAGGAAGGGCCAAAUGCAUAUCCUUAAUUGUUUGAAGGCUUCUCAAGGGUUACUUAAGUUUAUGGGGAUGGUUGGCUGAAUGACUAAGUACCUAAGCGAGUUGUUUUAUGAGUAAAGGAGCUGAAUGCAGUAUAUGGCAGCUGGCCAUAGCUCGGUCUUAGCUCAGUUUGAGUGUGACAGCUCGAUCAACUGGUCUACGAGUUCAUUCAGCUAGAGCAGCUGGACCGAUAAGCUAACAAGCUGUGUGGAUGUGACCAAGUUAUGAUCUUGAUCUAGCAAUAUUUGCUUAGAUAGAAUGGUUUAGAGGUAUGGAACCUCAGAUAGUUAGACUUGAACCGAGUUAAGAACUGAUCUCUAAGCUGGAUGGUAGUUAGUUGAGCUAACUAGAGCAUAGAUGAUUAAACAGUUAAGUGUAUGGUUGGAUUUAAAUCCAAUGUUAUGAAAUAAUAUUCCGCUGCGUAUAACUAUGAAUGAUCUCAGCUAUGAAAGGCUAAGGAAGUCUUUAGCUAAAGUCUAAGGUAGCCAUUGCCUAAGGGCGAACUUAUAGAAGUAUGGUUAAAAUUAGGAAGUUCUGGCAGUAUGUGGUCUGAGCGACGAAGGACAUCGACCGCGGCUUAGACAGCCGGGUUGGGGCCCUUCAAGAUCCGCCACUGCUGCACCUUAAAACGCCGACUCCACACCUCGAAGACCUCGCCGCCUCGUUGUUGCUCCAGAGAUUCACCACCUACCACUGGAUCUAGUUCCCCUCGAGGUCGAUUUAGGUCUCCGGCUAGCGACAUUUCCCUAUAAACUCAAACAUAUCGACGACAAAGAGAGAUCCAAGGAAGAGAAGCAAAAGGAAGAUAGAGGAGAGGAGAGAAUGGACUGUCGGCGUGGCGUCUAAACACCACCAGCUGGAGGCAAUCGACAAAAUUUCUUUUCUGUGGCUAGAGAGGAAGAUAAGGUAGAGAGACACCCAAUAUGUUUCGAGUAGUGGUUAAUUUUGGUUAGAGUUUGAUAGUUUAUAUAGUUUGUUCAAAAUAAAAUAUUAAUUUAAAAUAAAAUUAGCAUGAUAACAAAGUUCAGAGAAGAAAUAAUACGAAGAUAAUUGUUGACGUUGGAAUUAAAAGGGGAAAUUGGCAUAAAUACCAUAUUCAUAUUACCAUUUUUUCAUGUUUAUACUAAUCACUUUUACCUUCACUUUUAAUGAAGGGUAAAAGAUAUUUAUACCCAUAGGUGAACUAAUCUAGACUUAGUAUUUAGAGUUGAAAGGUAGAGUAGAGUUUUUGGAAUGUGAAAUUUAGGAUUAUAAUAAAUAUAUAAAUAAUAUUCAAUUAAAAAAUAGUUUCAAACAUAAUUUUUGAUCCUUUUUGAAAAACAAAAUUUCAAAAAAAAAAUUACAAAAAAUUCUAAUUUUAAAAAGUAUAAUUCGAAAACAUUUAUUUUUUAUUUUAUUUAUUUAUUUAUUUAAAUAAUUAUUUAUUUUAUAUAUAGAGAAUAAAGAUAUAAGAGUCUUUACCUUUUUAACGAAAAAGAUAUUUUUGAAAAUAUCUAUUUAGUGGUGGUAAAAAUGAAUAAUGUUACUUGUAAACAUAAAAAUUUUCCAGUAUAAACAACUGACGGAGGAUUUACUAAUGCUUCUACACCAGGAGAUCUAGGUUUCAAUUCUCGGAGAAAACAUAAUUAUGCGAAUUAAAGGAGAAAAGGCUUACAAGAGAUCUACAACAUGGCGCAAGAAAUACCGUCAAACGUAGCUCAGGUGAUGCAGUCAAUCGUGAAUCCUCAUAUGGCAGGUAGAAUUGUCGGCUGUAGAAUCGUCUGUGACAUUUCUCAUAAUGGUAAUUAGGCCUGUCCAAUAUGGUAAAACCGAACCGUACAAAACCGAAUCGAACUGAAAUAGACAAUAUGGUGUGGUUUUGGUAUAUACCAUAUAAACCGAAUGGAUAUGAUUUUAUAAAAUCCGUAGGAUUUGGAUAUGGUUUGGUUUAUAACCGAUUAAACCGAAUAAACCGAACAAAACAGAUCAAAAGUAGAAACAUGUAAAUAUGUACAUAUUUUAUAACGUCACAUGAAAAUCUAUUUUUAUAUAAUUUAUUUGUUUAUUAAUAAUUAUUACCAUAUUUUUUAUAGUAAUAAAGAAUCCUAAUUUGAAAAACACUUAAAAUAUAAUUAAAUAACAAUUUAUCGCAACUAAGGCUUCUUAUUUUCUUAAUCUUCUUCUUUUAAUUAUUUUGCUUUCUCUUAGCAUUGAUUAAAUUGAAGUGAAUGUUAUAAAUUUGAUGGAUAAUAAUUAGAAAAAAUUCUUCACAAUUUUUUUUUUAUUUAUAAACGAACAGAACUUCACUCGAAAAAAGUAUGACUUUGAUGAAUACUAAAUAUAGAAGAGUGUAAAAACUUUUCUUUCAUACUCUCUUUUUUUUUUUAUUUUUUUUUUCAAAAUUUCGAGCUUUGAUUUUAAUUCUAAAUUUGAUUAUUUCAUCUGAAGGUAUAAGCGUUUUUAUUUGUUUUGUUCUUUUAUUUGAAAAUAUAAUAUUUUUUAAAUAAAUAAUUGCGAUGACAAUAUGACUCUAAAAUUUAUAUAAUAUGAUCUCAAACUAAAUAAUUAUGUUUGGUAUAAAACCGAAUAAACCGAAAAUCGACGGUAUAUAAACCGAACCGAAGUAAAUAUGGAUUUAAAUGGUAAUUAUAUUUUAUUAAUCGAAAUAUCAAAAAACCAGAAAAACUGAACCGAAACUGAACCGAUAUCCAGAUUGAACACUUCUAGUUGUAAUAACAUUAAAAAAAAAAACAGCUGAUGGAAAAAAAAGAAGGACGAACGUAAUACAAUUUUGGGCCCAAAAAUAGUGGCCGUUACAAUAACAACAAAAGUCUACAAUUUAGCCCAAUAUUAUUUGUCAUUGACACACGGCUACACCGAAAGCCCUAAUCCACGACAAGGCAUCACUAUAUAACAAUUACACACACGCUAACAAUUCGUCUUACAGUUGUUCAGCCGAUUUUCUAGAUUUUUCUUUGCUUUGAUUGAUCUCAGUUCGCUUUCUGGUUGAUCGCUAAUUCGAUUUUAGUUUUCAUAGUCUAGGUUUUUGAAUGGCUUCAUCAGAUAGUCGAUGUGGAUAUGUCCGUUCCCAUAUGAUUCGUUCCCUUGAAGCAAUAUUAAUCGUGCUGUUCUCGUUAUUAUAUAUUUCUCCCUGAUCAGUUCACAGCAUCAUACUGUUAAUUCGAGUUUGAUGCCGAUUCUGGAGCAUAACUUGGGCGACUACAUAUCUUGUUUAUUCUUAUUUUUCUCCGUCUUAUUUAUGGAUAAGAACAGUGAUGAGUCAUUUACAGACCUGUAAUGAUAGCGGUAAUGAUCGCUUUUCAUUAUGAACAUCUAAGGGACUGAGUUCUCUGUUUUCAUUUAGUGGUGGCUUUACAUGCUUUAAAGAUUCAUGCUUUGUAUUAUAUAUACGUGAAGCUUGAUGAGAACAUAUUAGCCUACAUUAAAUUUAGUUCCCCUCGCUAUCCUGUUCUUCAAUUACAAUGAUGUUUCUCAGGACGUCGGUGAACAAUAGUUCUCUUGUUUUACUCUGGUUUUGGUUUUAUUUGAUCAAAUGAGGAACACUUUGCCAAGUUGUUGAAUGCUCAGAAAAUUUCUAGAGUAUAAUGAUUCACUUGAAUAGGAAGAUCUGAUGUUAUUCUUUAUAAUUUUUCUGAUAUCAGAUUUGUUUUUGAUGGGUAUUGUUGUAAUAUGAAGCCGGUGAUGAUUAGAUUGGAUGGUUGCUGAAAAUUUCAGUGUUGAAAAACAUCUACAUGACUAGGACGGUCUGAGGCUUUCACGUGCAAGUUUUGUAUACAUUUUGAGAUUGUUAGGAGCAUGUUUGUGAAUGUGUAUGAGGAGAAACAAAAAUCAAAAUACAGUUAUCCCUGGCUUAGGCUUCUUAAGCCGUUGAUGAAUCUUUUGUAAUCUGACCACAUCACAACAGCUUCUCAAUGUAUUUCUUUUUACUUUAGGAAAUAAAUUUGUCAACUACACGAAGUUUACUCUAAUAUAAUGGAAACUAUGUGUUACAACUACACUAUGUUUAUGUUAAUGUUUGUCACAUAUAUAAAGUAAAUGUUUAUAUGGUAUAUUAAAUUAAGUUAAUGAGGUCAAUUUGUGAUAUAUUAAAAUUCAAUUCGUUUUAUUAAAUUUAAUCCGACCCAACUCUUUUAUCCGACCGGACUUGUUUGGAUCUCCAAUUCAAAAAUUAGGGUUCAUAACCAACAAAAAAAGGAUUUCAAAGAGAUGCAAUACAGAUGUAGUCUUACAUUCUUUUCUCAGAAAUUGGACCAAAGUUCUUGACAAUGAGAAUUUGACAUUUCACUUGGUUUACAUAUCUCUUUUUUUUUUCAGACCAAAUGAGAUUUUACCUUCUAAGAGAAGCCUUAUGUGAAGUCUCCUUCUCUCUUUCUGGCUAGACUUUCUAACUCUUAAUGUAUAACAUACAUUUGGUUUUGUUCCAAUAUCUUCGUUGCAAUGGAGUUAAUCAAUGGAAUUUCCAAAUUUGGUUCUUGUGCAGCACUAGUUGGGACCGUUUACAAGAAAUAACAGUAAAAAAAACAAGCGUUUCCUUCUUAGCAGAGAAGAUAAAAGCAUUGCAUCUCUUUGAAAUCAAUUUUUUUUUUUGUUAUGGGGUCUAAACAAGAGUCUUAAGUCGACACGGAUCGGGUAAAGGAGUUGGGUCGGUAGAAUUUAGAAAAUCAGAGUUAAUUUUAAUAUAUUAUUAAUUGAUUCCGCUAACUUAGCUUAAAAUCAAGAAAAAAAGUUUUUUGCCUACAUAACUUUAACAUUAAUAUGGUGGAAACUAUCCAAUAUAUAAAAAUGUGUCAACAACUAUACGUAGUUUAUGUUAAUACAUGUCACAUGUAUGAAGUAAAUAAUAAUAGAAAAAAUUGGCAAAUUGGGCAAAUCGCAAGUUCGAUAUUAGGGAGUUGGGCAACCUCAAAUUUAAAUUAGCAAAUUGGGCAAAUCGCCUUUUCCAGACUUGUGAAAUGUCGACAGAGGGCGCACGUGGUUCUUGAUAUUACGACCCUGCCAAAUCCAGAAAAGAGAAGAAAAGAAAAAAAAAGAAUUAGAAAAACAAAAACCUCACAUCAAAAUAUAUCAGAACCACCUCUAAACAGCUGCAAUUGAGAACCAAACAAGAUUCUCACAUAAGAACAACCCUCGACUGAACCCAGAUCGUCAUGGUACCCCCCUCCAGCGUAACGCCCUCGAGGAGAGUGACUCGUAGUCAAUCCGCCAGUGAUAAAGAACCAAAUCCUAAGAAAAUUCCCCGAGAAGGCAAAACUGCGUCUCGUUAUGCAGGUAUCUCCUUGCGCUAAGCUUCGCUGUGAAAUUCUUUGGGAAAAGUUUUUAAAAAUAAAGCGUUGGGUAAAUGUCUGGAUUUGGUCAUUGUAUUUCAGUAACGAGCACGGAGUCCGAAGUAGAGGAACCUGCAUCCACCGACCAAGAAGAAGCUGCAUCCACUGAACAAGACGUCGGUGCAUCCACCGAGCCAGAAUUUAUUGUCACCACGCCGACUUUCCCGGAAAGACUGUUCGCACGUAAUUGCUAUCCUGGCAAACCUCGACUGAACAUCUAUUCAAAGGCGAGUAUCAUUGGCUCGUUAGUGAAGUUGCUAAGCGGCUCCCCUGAAAUGAAUUGUCUGCUAUGAAGUCAGUUUGGAGCUCUGUUCCACUUACCUGUAUCGCGCUGCUCAAACUCUGCGAAACUUUUACAUUCUCUCCUGAGCCGCAGCUGGUUACGAUGCGCCUAUAUGAGCUCUGGUUCUUGUUUGCAGACAAGCCACUACGCUUUUCUCUGCGUGAGUUCGCAGACAUCACGGGGCUGAAAUGCGAGCCUGAAAGGGAAAAAGUUGGAAACGGGUCAGAAUCUAUCGAUGCCACACCUGGACGUAUGUGGAAAGAGUUGUUUGAAACUGAAGAUGAAGACGUGACUGUACCAGAUGUUCUUCGUAUGCUUGAACAGCCUAGUCUUCCUGAGUGGAAGCGGUUGCGACUAGCUCUCAUUGCGCUUGUAGAUGGGCUCCUGGUUUGUGGUCACAAACUUCUUCGUGUGACGCCUGCUUACGUCCAGAUGCUGGAAGACACCAGAUCAUUUCUUCAAUAUCCAUGGGGGAGAGAGGCAUUCGUCAGCACUCUGUCUAGGUUGACACCACCUCAGCCUUGUGAUCCUUCUAAAAUGGAUAAAUCCCUUUCGGUCAUGCGCCUUCGUUUGAAACAGCAGUCAACAGCGUGUUAUGGGUUCCCUCUGGCGCUGAAACUUUUUGCUUUUAAAGCUAUCCCCUCAUUGCUUGAGAAAAUUCCCGAACCUAAUAAAACCACUUCUUUCUUGCAAGAACCAGAAGGAUGCGACUUAACAAAUGCACUUCUGAAUUUUGAAGACAUACUUCUGGUGGAAACCCAAAGAGAGGUACAAUGCUGUUGUCUAUCUUAUUUGCAAAACAGAAGUUUAAACGCUCAAACUUUGUGUACUUAUGAAUGUUUGUGUUCUUUGUUUGAGGUUAUUGUUACGUAUUCAAUCCCAGAUGAAGGUGGGGAUCCAAAGUGGAAGAAAGAAGUAAGCGAUCCCCGAAUAGAUAGCUUAGUUCGUUGAAUGCGGGAAGGGCACAAGUUCAAAGCAACAGACUUUAGAGGAGGUGAUUCAUCCCUUCCACCUCUGAAGCCAGCCGAAAAGGCUGAAGGUGUUGCUGUCAAAAAAAAGUGUGAAAAGCCGUCUAGGCGGUUUGGGCAAGCCUGUGAUGAACCUGGAAGUUCGACUCAGGCGCCUGAGCGUCCUAUUCGACCUCGUCGUGGGAUAUGUAAACAGGCUGAACCAGGAAACUUAUCAGAUAAGGAGCAAGAGCUGAAAGAGUGGAUACGAGUUGAACUGAAAACCCAGUUGGGUAAAUUGCGGAACGAGAUUUUUGAGUGGUUGCAUCAUGAUAGGGGAGGCUCGUUCACGGUUCCGCAAAACACAGCAGCCGGUAAAACAAACAGAGACAACAGUCACGCUGACCCUACCGGCAUGGAAGUUCCAAAGAAACGACGUCCGUUCAGUGGUGAUGGUAAUGAUGAAGCUGAAAUAUUUGGGUCUGAUAGUAAGAAACAGAAGAAGAACAACGGCGAUGGGUUUAGCGACGAUGAGACGAUGAGAAUGCAUGAUAAUCAUUGUGAUGAUCGUACGCCAAAUGCUCGCUUCUGGGAAAAGGUAAUCAAACUGCUCCUACAAUUUUUAAUGAUAAACAAUGCCUGAAUCCCGGUCUAACUUUUUUGAGGAAAAUUCAACGUGUAGGUAGAUUCAAUGGCGGGCGAAGGCCCCUCUUCCUCGAAGUCGGCAAACAUUCCAGAAGUCGAUGUUUCAACGCCUAUUGUCCCGGAACCGUUGGAGGUAAAUAGAUUAUAACAAUGAAUUUAUAGGCUCUAGAUAUAUUAUGUUUGCUGUUCAGCUUGGUUUGGCCAGGUAUUCAGCGUAGAUUAUCAGUUGUUCGUUUUAGUUAGUGAGGUGUACAGGAAUACUGAUUUGUUUGGUCAGGUAUUCAGGUUAUUUAGUUAAGGUAUUCAGGUUAAUUUAUGAGGUGUACAUGAAUACUGAUUUGUUUGGUCUGGUAUUCUGGUUAAUAGUUCUGGUAUUCUGGUUAAUAGUUCUGGUAUUCAGGUUAAUUUAUGAGGUUUACAGGAAUACUGAUUUGUUUGGUCUGGUAUUCAGGUUAAUUUAAGAGGUCUUUUGCUUAAGUAGUCAGGUAUACAGAUCUGUUUGAUAGUUUUCAGGUGUUCACCUUAGUUAGUCAAGUGUUCAGCUAAUUUUUCCCGGUGUACAGAUUAUGUUGAUUUAGUGUUCGGAUUUUUUUAUCAGGAGUUCAGUUUAGUUUGUCAGGUAUACACCCAUUUGUUCUGAUUUGAAGUAUUUGAAUGAGCUAUAUCUGAACGUUGUCAGGGCGAGGGGGGAGAUGAGUCUCCAAUAUCAGGGCUAAAUUUGUUAGCAGAAGAGAUUGAAAAGGGGUCACGGAGUGACAAUGUCUAUAAAGAUCUACAGGAGAACACUUGUAGGAUGCUUACCGUUUGGUCUCAUCCUGAAUCUUAUGUCCUUCCGCCGGAGGAACAAGGUGGUAAAGCGUCACCGACAAAUUCUGAAGAUUACAAGACACUGCCAGAGGAUGAUCCGAUGACUGAAUCUCGCACACCAGACGUUGGGAAUUCGAAGCUGAGUCGAUAUCUGACUAGGUCAUUAAAAAAUGCAGAGCUAGAAGGGAAAUGUAUUCCAAUAAGCUCAACCAAAAAAAAUGACCUCCAGACGAAGCGUAUUCCGAUACGUUCAAGAAAGAUUGGAGGAGUGUACACCCCAGACAAGAGAUUGAAGAAGCUUUUCCAAAGCUGCAAGAAACUCAAAUAUACGCCCUUAGCAGAGUUGGAGAAAGCGCAGUUUCAAGAGUUUCAGUCAAUUCUCUGCGAGAAACCGACACAGUAAGUUGUUUGGAUAUACUGUAUAAAUUUCUUGGACUGUCAAAUAUUUAAUAUUGAGUUUUUGUUUGUUUUCAAAUUUCAGAGAAUUCGAAAUUGUUAUUGGGAUCCAUGUCUCAAAUAAGUUCUUCCUGUCGUUGGCGAGGCCAACAAAUUGGGUCAGUACCGAGGUAUUCAAAUCAUCAGAACUUAAUCCGUUUUAUUCAAGUUACAACACGGAUUUCCACCGAUUUAAUGUUCUAAUGGUUUGUACAUAUUUUUCAGCACAUUUCUGUGCUAAUUAGUAUGCUAGUAAGGCGACAUGGACGCAAUUACCUGAGUGGGAGGUGCAGAUUUGUAGACUACUUCAGUAUUGCGGGCAUCAUAUCAAAGUUUGCAGAGUUCGAGAAGGCCUCAGAUAAAUUGGGAUUCAACUGGGGAGGGCUUGUCAGUUACAGUUUCACCGGAAAAACGCCACGUCGGAAUGACAAGAAGGUGUUGUUGGUUGAUGUGGACAGGGUGUACGCCCCAAUGAUGUGGGGAAAAGAUCAUUGGGUUGGUCUUGUUAUCAACUUGACAUGCAGACAAGUGGAGAUUUUGGACUGCAACAUUCCCCAUAAUGAGUCCGAUAAUGAGGUGAACAAGCACAUGGCUUAUCUUCUACGCGCACUGCCUCAUGUCUUAGCUGCGUUUUCGCCUCCUUCCGAUAGUAGUCAUCCUGAAGAAGACCAAGCAUUUUCAUGGGUGCGUCCAGACAAUAUUUACUUCAACGAAAGGUCUGGCGACUGUGGACCAUGCGCGGUCAAAUUUCUAGAAAUGCAUGCAGCGGAAUACUCCUAUGAGGAUAUGGGGCAGAUCGAUGACAAAAUGGUGGACAUAUUCCGUCAGAAAUACGCGAUGGAUACCUAUGAAGAAUUUAUUGGAAACGCAAAAGUUCAAAACGAUGGUUGAAGACGUGUAUACUGCCUGCUUCAUUUUGUUUGUUAAACCGAAUUGUUAAACGGUUAUUGUAUCUUUUCAUUCAUCCAGACACUAUAAUUCAAACAGAUCAGUUUAUCUUUGAAGGUUUUACAUCGUCUUUCUUAUAUAUUUAGGGUUUAGGGUUUAGGGUUUAGGGUUUAGAGUUUUGGGUUUAGGGUUGCAUGUUUAGGGUUUAGGGUUAGUUAUUUGUUUCAAAGGAAAACAAUUUCAGAAGUAGUUGGUGUUUUUACUGUUUCAUUUAAUAAGUAUUAGUGUAAAAUUUAAAAAUUGAUUGCAAUAACUAUUUCUCUGAGUGUGUUAGGUACAAAAUGUGGGAGGGGACAAUAACUUUCCUAUUAACUCAUAAGACUCCUUUGUUUAUUUCUUUAUUCUAUAUAUACAUAUUCAAUGCGUCUGAUAAACAUCUCCAACAGAACCCAAUAGUAUGGCAUCUCUAAACAUCCCCCAUCUUCCAGAAGAAAUUUUGUGUAAAAUAAUAGAGAUGGUGGGAGUGGAUUCAUUCUACUAUCUUGGUGGUAUUUUGCGGGCUGGGAAACGCGGUUAUGCACUUGUCCACGAACCCUCCGUCUUAAGGAAGUGUAAUGUUCAGCCAAUGGUCACCUUUGCAACAUGUCAAAUCUGCACUGGUGGUCAGUUUCGGGAGUUUUUGAUCAAGUGCGUAACAGCUGGCAACACAAACGCUAUCUACUAUGAAGGGCUCUAUGCAGCACUGAUGGUAGGUCCUGAGAAAUAUAUUAGAAUAUUGCAACAAAAUGUCCCAAGUCAUGAUUUAUCAACUUUAGCCGUCGGCAUUUUCUACGUGUGUAUUGGCAAUGACAAGGAAGCCAGUAAACUGUUUCAGCAGUUCGCAGCUAAUCACUAUGACCUUCGCUCGGAUGCGAUAGUUGGACUGGGAGCUGAUCUAGAGUGGCGAUUGAUAUCAUUUGAAGCGCCAUACAUGAACAUAUAUGGUGCAUCUUUCAAAUUUCCGGAUGAUGAGGUUAUCAAGUCACCAAGCUGCCUUUAUGGCCAUGAUUACACAGUCGAUUUUGAAGGUUCUUGUAAAAACUGCAGGCUAUUUUGGAUAUGCUGCAACAUUUCUCACAUCCUCUAGGACUUUAUUUAUGUUAUCCUCGAUGUUAUCUGUUUUCUAUCGUAUAGCUUAAGUAUUCGUGGACCUUAAGUAUUCGUAUACCUUAAGUAUUCGUAUACCUUAAGUAUUCGUAUACCUUAAGUAUUCGUAUACCUUAAGUAUUCGUAUACCUUAAGUAUUCGUAUACCUUAAGUAUUCGUAUACCUUAAGUAUUCGUAUACCUUAAGUAUUCGUAUACCUUAAGUAUUCGUCAAUGUUAUCUGUUUUAUCUCGUAGACCUAAAGUAUUCGUCAAUGUUAUAUGUUCUAUCUCGUAGACCUAAAGUAUUCGUCAAUGUUAUAUGUUCUCUCUCGUAUACCUAAAGUAUUUGUCAAUGUUAUAUGCUCUCUCUCGUAUACCGUAAGUAUUCGUAUACCUUCAGUAUACCGUCAGUAUUCGUAUACCGUCAGUAUUCGAAUACCUUCAGUAUUCGUAGACCUUAAGUAUUCGUAUACCGUCAGUAUUCGUAUCCUAAUUUUACCAAUAUUAAACAUGCAUAAAAAGACAGCUUUAAUAAACAUAAAUCAUAUACUAUAUUAUAAAAUAUAAUGGGCUGUCCAUGUCCAAUGGGUAUGUCCAAAUUGUACGUAGUCCAAAUUGUCCAAACCCAAAAUAGAACCAUCACAUUUCACAAAUGGUUUUAGCCCAUCUAAUUUGGACGUAAUAGGUUUCAGUCCAAUUUCACAACUUUAAAUUUUGGGCCCAUCUAAAGGUCAGACCAUUUGGGUUUGUUCUUGGUUAACCCAUGGUCAUUAAGCCCAUUAAUGGAAUUAUUCGUAGACCUUAAGUAUUCGUAUACCGUCAGUAUUCGAAUACUGAAGGUAUUCGAAUACCUUCAGUAUUCGUAGACCUUAAGUAUUCGAAUACCUUAAGUAUACCGUCCGUAUUAGUAUACCGUCGGUAUACGAAUACUGUCAGUAUUCGUAUACCUUCAGUAUUCGUAGACCUUAAGUAUUCGUAUCCUAAUUUUACCAAUAUUAAACAUGCAAUAAAAGACAGCAAUAAUAAACAGAAAUCAUAAACUAUAUUAUAAAAUAUAAUAAAGAGUUCGAAAAAAAAGAGUUCAAAAUAAUUACAAAAAAACACUAAAAUUCAAAAUAUUUAAUAAUAUUAAAAGAGGAGGAGGUUCCUAGUCGGAGUCGGAGGUGCUGGAGUCGGUGCCGGAGCUGUCUGGGUAGUUGUCCAUCCUGAACUGCCCAGAACCCAACGUGUCGUCGGUCCUGUCGGACGCGUCGUCAUCCACGUCCGUCUCCAUCUGCAUCCACUCCCAGUAUUCACCUUCUUCAUCGUCCUUAAACCCCAACGCUCCUUCGCCGUCAUAUCCGUAACCCUCAUCCUCCGGGUCACCUUUUUUCUCCGCCUUGCGAGCACGUUUGCUACUGCGGGGAUCGGGGCUUGUGCAGCGCCGUUUGCGAGGGGUGGAUGGAGGUGUUUCCUUUAACCCCUCCUCGACUUCCUCCGCCUCCUCGAACAGGGCCUCGACUGUGGCGAACUCAUCAGUUUCCAGACCGUCGCGGAUCUCUUCCUUCAAUCCGGCCUUGGCCAACUCGAUCAACUGCUGCUCGGUGCGUUCGCCGACUAUAGGCAAACUGUAAAAGAAUCGCUUGUAUUUUGCGACGGUCAUUUUGCCCUGGCUGAUAUCAUAAACCAUUUUUGGAAUGAAAGAGGUUUGCAGAGAAAGAGGUUUGCAGAGAAUAUGUUUAGAAAGAUGAAAAAAAUAUUAAAUGUCAACUGAGUAGUAUAUAUAUUACGAAAAUAAUUAAUUAUUUUUUUGGUAACAGACGCGGCGUUCCAUUACUACUCCUCGGUUUAAACCAUGCGAAUUAAAUCGUUGCGACUCCUCCGUAGAAUUAAAUCUCCGACUGAUUUGACCAUACGAAAUAAAGUAGGAAACUUUAUUGUCGCAGACAGAGUUCACUUAAAUUUAUUUUCGUGUUAAAACCAUAAGUGUACGCGUGUUCGUACACCAACAAAGAGAGAGAUGAGAAUACCUUAAGUUCAUACAUUAAUUAGUACAAAUAUGUAUAAAGAAGAUGUCUUCUCCGUGUCAGAAGGUAGCCCUAAUUUCAAACUACAGUAUGAAGCUUACGUAACCGAGGAGGUAUAAUGAUGACUUCGUACACCUUAACCGAGGGUGUAUAAUGAUGACUUUUGUACACAUUAUGAAACUAAAUUAAUUCAAAUGGAUUUGAUUUUUAAUUGGAUAUGGAUAGGCCCAUUAUGAGAUAAACAGUUAAAAUUUGAUAGAAGAGUACAAAUUAACCUUAACAUAAACAGUACAAAUUUGAUAGAAGAGUACGAAAAUUACAUAAUAGAUCCGAGAAAUGCUAAGAUCAGCGAUCCACCAUAAUUAAUUGCUUAAGCUCUUUGAUCUCCUCACGCAUUUGCGCAAGUUCAAAUUGCAGCUCACGGCGGAGCGACACCUCCUCAGCAUACUGACUUCUCAAGCAAUCCAGCUCUUCCUCGAGGGCAGUAAGGCAGUCAUGACGGAUGUGCAAACCAUCUUUCUACAAGAAAAUAUAUUAGAUUUGUUAGCUAAAAACAAUACCAUUUCCGUUAACAAUGGAGGCAAAUUUAAGUAUUGUGAACUCCAAUAUUACCUUAAAAUCUUUGCAUACGUAAUAGUUUUUUCCUCUGUCAUCAGCUUCCACGGUGAUAGCUCCACCGCAGAUACACUUCGUUGGAAUUUUGUAAUUGGCAUAGACACAAUUGCUCACCCAGUCAUACUCCCUUUUGUGAUGCUUCAUCUCUUUAUAGUAAGGAUCCGUCAUUUUGUGGUACUGGUGAGUGUGGUGAAGAGAGAUUGUUGAGUGUUGUGAAGAGAGAUUGUUGGGUGUUCUGAAUUAUACUUAAGUAGUGCAAGAUUGUAACGGCUAUAUUUUACUUCAAAAGCAUUUCUAACGGUAAUAUUGAGAGGGAUAUAUUCACCAUUUUUUAUUUCAAACGUGUUUAUUGGUUCAUAGAAUUUUAGUAGAAUCAUAAAAAAUGACACAUUACAAAAAACCACAUCAAGAGUUCAUUACUCAUCCGAUUUAUUACAUUACAAAAUAAAGAGUUACUUGAAUAUGAUCACCAACCCAAGUAAAACUAAUAUAAUAACCAUUCCACCAACAAAGUAUUCGAAGCCAUUGGUUAACCUUGUUCUCUUUUCAGCUAAUUCAGACACUACCUUCUCUAGCCUAACCAGCUUCUGCUCAGUCUCAUUCUGGAGUUCCUUCAACUUGUUAAGUUGUGGGUCAUAGUCAUUCAAAAAGGUUAGAUAAUCUACCUUUUCAGACAAUUGAAGUGUGUGCAUAUCCCUGGCUCUCAUCUCCUCCAUAACCGCAUCAUCCCACCAUUUAUGAACAUGACAGUCUCCAUCAUUAACAUUAUCACACGUGUAGUAUCUUCUACCUGGAUCAUUUACAGUGCGAGAUGUUGCUAGCUUAGGCCGACCACCACAGUAGCAUGUCUGCGGGAAUCCAAAUUUGACCUCGGGUUGCGGAGGGUACUGAACCGUCGAAGCAUAAUUGUAAUUUAGCUCAGCUUGGUCCCGACGAAUAAGAUCUUCAACUUCACGGUCUUCUGUGUCGCUGGAGUCAUGCCCACCAUAGUCCUCUGAUUCCGAAGGCUGGCUAUAGCUAUAAUCAAGUCCCAUCUUUAGUAUAAAAUUGAGAGUAAAGAGAGAAUCACAAAAAAUCUGAAAUAUAGACGACACAAGCACUCAUACUUAAAUAGAUUGAGAUUGUAACGGCUAUAUUAUUAUUGGAUUACAAUACAACGGCUACAUUGUAUUUAAAUGUCUUUCUAACGGCUAGAUUGGCUAAACAGAUAUCGUACACCUCAAGUUGUAAACAAGUUACAUCAAAUCAAAAGUCAUCAAAUCUUCAACUAUGUUUACCUCAAGUUGUAAACAAGUUGUAAACCAUAUUAAGGAAUGACAAUAAAACCAUACAUAUCUAAUAAAUUCAAGAAGAAGCUCUGCGUAAAACAUAUCGCAAAAUAGCAUUAUAGAUGUGUUGUAAACCAUAUUAAAUUUCCAAAAAACAAGAACUCUCUUGUCAACAAUACAUAAAAUCUCCUCCAUCCAUAAGCCAUCAUUGUAGCGGUUCUUUACAAGACUUUUUGUUGUGACCUGAGAUAUGACAUCGACUACAUGUGUUUAGUUUCUUCUUCUUCGGCCCCUCCUGAAAAAAACAUAACAGCCUUUAUUCAGAAAAUAUCCAUGACUACAGUCAGAUGAGAUUAGGUCGUACCAGUAUUUCUCCUGCAGAACGUUUACGCUUGGUCGGUGGACGUCCUGGUGGUCUCUUCGUCUUUGGUGGUAACAUGAUAAGGUCACUAACCUCCGAAGGUAUGAAAAGAUCUUGCGGAUCUGGAACCGGGAGUGUAACACCCUUUGUUGUUUCAUUCCAUGUCUUUUUUAGAUAGGCGUCUGCAACGAACUCUGAGUGCUGCAAGUUCCGAAACAUAGACGCAGCAAUGGCAUGUCGACAUGGUAUUCCAACUUUCUGGAAUUCAAGACAUGUGCAAGACCUGGUUUCCAAAUUAACAGAACUCCCGAAGCCGGUUGUUUUAAGAGUUACCUCAAAUUCAAAAGCAGACAGACGCAUCACAGCUUACGCUCUUGCGUCUUCUAGAUUGUUUUCCAUCAACUCGUCAAUAGCCGGGGGGAUCUCACCACUCAUUUUCGAUAUCUUUCGCUGUCUACUCACAAACCAACGACUAAUCAUGCGUCUGAUGAACUCAAAUAGCGCCAUUAUCGGGGAAUCGCGCGCAUGAACUAGUGCUUUGUUGAGAGACUCAGAUAUAUUCGAGCUCAUUAGAUUGUACCGCUUGCCCUCAAAGUGUGACCUUGUCCAAUGCCUAUGAUCGAUCUUCUCAAGAUAAUCCCAACAGCGCUUAUCUGUAAGUUUGAUCUCCGCGUAAAGUCUCUUAAAGUAUGAUACCUUGAAUACCUCGGCUGCCCUGCCAACCAUUUGCUUCUGAUUCCUUUUCUUGAAUUUUGCGUCGACGUUUCUCUGUAGGUGUACGAGGCAGCACCCAUGGUGUGAAAGAGGAUACCACUUAUCUUUAGCAACACAUAUUUGACUUGAUCUAUCAGACACGAUAGCUAAAUCGGAGCCAUCUUCUACGAUCUCUUUCAGCUUCUCAAAAAACCAACUCCAAGACUCAUUUGUUUUAUUGUCUACAACAGCAAACGCUAUAGGGAAUACCUGAUAAUUGGCAUCUUGCCCACUUGCAGUUAGUAAACACCCUUUGUACUUCCCAAACAUAUGAGUACCAUCCACCACAAUAACCUUCCGUAGAUGCUUCCACCCGUCAAUGCAAGCUUUCAGCGCCAUGAACGCGUACUUAAACCUUGUCUGACCCUUAUCAUCUUUUUCAGUUUUGAUAUCAGUAAUGAACCUAGGAUUUGCAUACUUUACAACAUAAAAAUAUUUCGACAGGAACUUGUAAGAGCUCUCUUCAGUUCCUUGUGCAGCCACAGUUGCUAACUCUUUUGCUUUCCAACAUUUCCAAUAUGUGGCCGUAAACAAGAACUCAGUCCGGAGCAUCUCGGGUAAUUCAGAUGCGCACGGUCCAGCUUGGAGCCUUUCAUACUUCGAUCUCAUUAGUGCCGCUAUUACUUUCGACGUCGCAUGUUUCUUAUAUUGCGCUUUAGCAUCAGAUGUGCAGACAUGCUUCAGUUGCGCCUUCCUCACCUGAUAUGCCGAAGAUUCCCCCAAUUGCUUAGCCAUAACAUAAAAUUUGCAGUUUUUGUCAAUGCAUUUCGCUGCGACGUAGUUAAACACAUGUUUGUGGAACUUGAACCUGAACACCUGCUUUAAGGCAUAAAUGUGCAAACUGAUCUUGAAUUCUUGCUUGCUACUGAAUAGUUUCCCAGUGUACAUAUCAGCAUCUGCUAGAGUGAAGUCAAUAUCAUCGACGGUAUAGUCGUUAACUGCUUCGUUGUUAGACGAAGAUUCUACAUCCUCAAAUCCAUAUAGCUCAACGGCUCUAAUGGAUUUCAUGAGUGAUUCGUCAUCAGCCUUAUCCUUUUGACGACGUCUUCUUGCGUCUUCCUCACGGCUUCGAGACUGAGGUACCGGUUCGAUAAAGUCGCCAUCCUCGUCUUCUCCAACCAGGGUUUCAUGUGUCCGACCACCCGAAACACACUGAGGCACCGGUUCGACAAAGUCGUCAUCCUCGUCUUCUCCAUCCGGAGUUUCAUGUGUCUGGCCACCCGAAACACACAUAGGUACCGGUUCGACAAAGUCGUCAUCCUCGUCUUCUCCUUCAGAUGUAGCAUCUGUCGGUCUAGACGAAACACAUUGAGGGACCUGCCCAACGAAAUCAUCACUGUCGUCAACUUCCCAAGUAUGCAUGUUGAACGGCUUUGGAGGAGUCUGGAUAACCAACAUUUGGGAGCUGUUGUCCAAACUUGGGUCCUCUUCUUGAUUUGGAUCUGAAUGAUUCUUAGUGUCGGCCACUUGAUCACUUGACUUGACACCUAAAUUGUUACUUGCUUCUUCAAUAUUCUCCAUCGAAAUCCUAGAUGAGCCUAUGUAAUAUCUACCCUCAUCUACGUAAUCUUCAAAAGUUGAUGGUGGGUUUGCGGUACGCUUUUUGUUUGUAGAUGGACCACUACCUUUGUUUGAAGAAGGAUUAGUGCGUCCACUCCUCGUUUUAGUCACCACCUCACCACGUACACCUCCAUAUGUUACGUUCGUUCGACCACCACCACCUACCCCUCCAUCCUCAUCCUUAUCAUCGUCCCAUUCGCAAUUUCGUCCAACAAAAUCAUGCCAUAAAUUGUAAUCAUAAUCCUCAUAGUCGUCAUCUUCGCCUUCCCCUAAUGCAGCAUCUUCAGUCGUGUCCACUUUAUUCUGAACUUCACAUGCAGUUCCAUCCACUUCACUCAUCCCUAUACCAUUUGAGGCAUAAACUGCUUCAAUUUCCGCAACUCCCAUCAGAAUUAUUUCAUCUUCGGUCAAAUCAGUCUCACCGUCAUUAACUUCAUUCCGGGUGUGCACAUCAGCAGACGUACUCCCAACAUGCAUUUCGUUGCUGCUGGCAACUUCUUUGGACUUCAAAAGAUUCCCCAUUGGCCUCAGAAAAUGGAUUUUCCCAUCUAUUUCCUCUUUGAAUGUGACAAAUACGUUGAUGUACUUGUCCACCUUACGUGCCGAAGUAAACAAGUCGAAAUCCUUGUCGUUGGAAAUUUGAACAGGAGCUUCUCUUUCACCAACAGCACAAGAUCCGUGUUCACCAAGCCAAUAUGAUAUCUCAACGGCAACAGACAUUCCAACUAGACCGUAUGACUCAAUAAUGGCCCGCUUCAAGUCUUCAACAGAAGUUAUCAACUUCGCAUAGACAGUCCUCCCCAUACGGUCGCUAUAAAGUUUAAAAUCCCAGUCACCAGUGUCGUACAUAAUCCACCGUCCAGAGAUUACAACGAUGUAUGAAUCCUGAACACCUACGAAAAAUAGAACUUAAAUUUAUUUAAUAAUUCAAUGUGCUAAUCAGAAGCAAUAAAUAUAGUUUCGUACAAACAAACACCUGAAUUCCGAACACCCUCAAAUCUGUAAUAAAUGAUUUCAGCCAUAACUAUAAUGUCAUAAAUGCAAUGGUGUACGGCUUAUAUAUGAUUUACCUUCGAUGCUAGAUACAGAACACCCACCAUCCACCAUACCCUUUCCUCCCUCACCAUAUCGGAUGCAGCUCAUGCCUCUGUGUGUAAAAUUCGCUGCCUCAAGUUCCCUUCUUCGGUAGCCUUUUUUACUCCUCAACAAGGAGACAUGCAAAGAGAUAGGGUUCGUACGUUUUUGUAUUAAAUAAUUAAUAUUUGCCCUGUUUUUAAUUAAUAAAUUAAAGUAAAACACAUGUUUUCCAAAGUCACCAGUCAUUAAUGGCCAUUCGUCCACUUUGGAGCCGUUGUUUCUCGCGAGAAAUCUUCAACUAUGAGGUCUUCAAGUUUUGGGGUCAAAUAGCCCAAAAAAGAAGCCCACUACCAUGUUUCCUUCUGAAAUUAAAAUAAUAUAAUAUUAAAAUCGUCUCUUACACGCACAUCCGGCGCGCGUGUGUCGGUUUUCCUGAGGCAAGUUUUUCUGGGCAAAAGACAGCUUGGUCCCACGAAUUUCAGCUCAAGAUUGUUGGGCAAAAAGGUUAAAACUGUCCACUUUUUCUUCUCUCUCCUACUAGGUUGCCCAACAACCUAAUUAAAACAUGGGCUUGCCCAAAUUUCUAAUUCAAACUUGAAAAUUGCCCAAUCUUCUAAAUUUCCCAUAAUAAUAUGGUAGCAACAUCACAAUCGGGUUUAAUUGAUUUUAAACUAAGUUAAUGGGGUUAAUCCGUAAUUUACUAAACUUAAUAAACUUAAUGAUUUAUUAAGUUUAAUAAACUUAAUUGAUUUUAUUAAAAAACUUAGUAAUUUAAUAAACUUUAACUUAAUAAUUUAUUAUACUUAAUAAAUUUAUUAAAUUUAAUAAACUUAAUUUAUUUUAUUAAAAAACUUAGUAAUUUAAUAAACUUUAACUUAAUAAUUUAUUAUACUUAAUAAAUUUAUUAAAUUUAAUAAACUUAAUAAUUUAAUAAACUUAAUGGUUUAUUAAGUUUAAUAAACUUAAUUGAUUUUAUUAAUAAACUUUGUAAUUUAAUAAACUUUAACUUAAUAAACUUAAUAAUUUAUUAUACUUAAUAAAUUUAUCAAACCUAAUAAACUUAAUAAUUUAAUAAACUUAAUAAACUUAAACUUAAUAAACUUAAUAAAUUUAUGAAACUUAAUAAACUUAAUAAAUUUAUGAAACUUAAUAAACUUAAUAAAUUUAUGAAACUUAAUAAACUUAAUAAAUUUAUGAAACUUAAUAAACUUAAUAAAUUUAUUAAACUUAAUAAAUUUAACAAAUUUAUUAAGUUUAUUAAGUUUGCUUUAUUGUAUUCGGUUUUGUUUGACCAUCAUUGGGUAAUUUUGUUGUGCUAAUCUUUUACAUAAAAAAAUAAGACAUUGAUUUGUAGUGACCCAUAUUUUCAUGUUUUGUAAUUAACACAAAAUCAAAAACUUUUCAAAAUAUCAUGAGAACUUUACAUUAUUAGAGAAAACUUUUACAUAUGUUUUGAGUCGGUGUGGAUGCUCUUCUCUUUCUAAUACAGACAAACGAGAAAGAAUGGUGACUAUCUUCUAGAAGAGUUUUCAAUGUUAGAUCUAUCAGUGAAAUGUUACUAAAAGAAUAAAAUUAUAUCAUAUUUUAUCAUAUUUUUUUCAAUAUACGUUUUUAUUUCAAUAAAAUGAUAGAUAUUAUUAUAAAAUUGAUAAAAUAAGAUAUAAUUUUAUUCUCUUAGUAACAUUUCAUUACUAAUUACAAAAUUAGUUGAAAAUAUUUAUAUUCAAUUUAUGACAAUUAAGAUCUUAUUAUAAUCUUUUUCAAGAGAUUUGUUAUAAUUUAUUUUUUUUUUAAAUUAAAAGAUAUAAAAGAUAUUAUAAUUAAAGUAGUUAAAAAUAUUAUAUAUAUUAGCAUUAGUGAUAUACAUUUAAUACAAAAUUUAAAUGAUGGUCCAAAUAAAAUAUCACUCAUCAAAAAAUUAUGAUUUUUAUUUUAUUAGAAAACAAAUUUGAAAAAAUUAAAAUAGAAAUAAAUAUUUAUUUCUAACAAAAUCUUUAAAAAUUAUUGGUAAAUGUAUUUUUGAAAUUAAUUAAUUUCAUUUUAUUUAAAUUUAUUCAAUUUUAAUUUCUAAUUAUAUUUUAUGAUAAUUUAAAUUAAAACUAACUAAUUUUUGAAAGUAAAUUUAAAAAGAUUCUAAGAAGAUUUUAAAAAGAUUUUGUUAGAACAUUUUAAAUAUAUUCAUUUGUAUUUCAAAUAAAAAGAUAAAGAUAUUAAAAGAUAUAAUAAUGAACUUAAGUAAAAUAUGAUAUUUUCUUGGAAUUGUCCAAACUAAAAAAAUCACACAUGAAAAGAAGUCAUGACUUCUGUUUUAAUAUAUUAGAUGAAUUGAUCCCACUANNNNNNNNNNNNNNNNNNNNNNNNNNNNNNNNNNNNNNNNNNNNNNNNNNNNNNNNNNNNNNNNNNNNNNNNNNNNNNNNNNNNNNNNNNNNNNNNNNNNUCCGCAUCUAUGGCAUAGAGAUGACUUGGACGUGUAAGAUGGUUUGGAUAUGCCACCUCGUCCACGGCCAUAACUGCCUCGGCCCCGACCGUAAUUGGAACCACGACCACGGUUAUUGUGGUUUCCUUUUCGGCCGGUUGAGUAGUUGUCUCGACCGUUCUGAUUGUCACGCCUACGCCUCUUGUAUCCACCACGGCCAUUGCCGUAUGGUUUCCUGUUGUCUUGGGCGUAGUAGGUCUCUUUGGGAUCUUUCUUUUCAACCUCAUGGGCUUCGGGUAAUGGUGCUGUCCCGGCCGGUUUGGCUCCACUAUUCUUCAUUAGGAGCUCAUUGUUUGCCUCGGCCAAGAGUAGACACGAGAUCAGAUCAGUAUAUGUGGCAAAACCUUUUGUUCUAUAUUGCUCUUGCAAUACAAAAUUCGACUGAUUGAAAGUCGUAUAGGUCUUUUCAAGCAUCAUCAUAUCGGAUACUUCUUCACCACAAAGACUUAGUAUUGAAACUAUCUUGAACAAGGCUGAAUUGUACUCAUCCACUGACUUAUAGUCUAAGAAUCUUAGGUGCAUCCAGUCGUGCCUUGCCUUUGGAAGCAACACCAUCUUUUGGUGAUCAUAUCUAUGCUUUAAAGCAUUCCAAAGAUCUAGUAGAUUUUCAAUUGUCAUGUACUGAUCUUUAAGACCUUCAAUGAGAUGAUGGCGCAUAAAGCUUAUGGCCCUGUAUCUAUUCUUUUCAUUCUCAUUGUUGUCCUCGGUGAUAGUAUCACCGAGUCCCUUGGACUUUAGACUGAUCCUUGUAUCUAGUGCCCACUGCAAGUAAUUGUCUCCGGAGAGAUUAAGGGCUGCGUAGUCUCUGUUUGCUAUUUUCGACAUCUGAAUCACAUUAUCAUAUAAAUUUUAGGUUCAUAAUGUGAUCAGGUGGCCGCAUGAUAAUAAGCAAGCUUGGCCACAACACGUCUUACGCAUUUAUGAUAUUCAAAACAAUACUAAUCGACCAUGGUGCUAUCAAUCAUGAGCCACACGGCUAUAUAGGUUUACUAAUGCAGUCAACCUAAAUUCGUGUGAUCUAUAUGCUGGUCGAUCUUGUUACAAUCAGUUAUGAAUGCAAUACCAUGUUCGGAUUUAUGUAAAGCAAUCAAACUUAUUCUUACUUUAUAAUACCUAGGGUUUUCAAUCUUUUAAAUUCUAUCAACCUUAUGUUUAAGGUUUCUAGGCCUUAAGUAUUUGUAUACUUAGCUAAAUUAUUUCAAACAAUCCAACAAUCCUAAACCUCAAAUCAAGCAAGAAAUCAAACAAGCAAGAUCAAUCUUAAAAUCGGAUUCUAGCUUCUUUAGGGUUUAGGGUUUUCGAUUCCUUUAUUAGGGUCUGUCAUGUUUCAGAUUUAAUCAAUCAACAUACAAUCAUAUUCUAGUUGGAAUCGUAUUCUUUCUAGUUUUAAGACUUGUCGAUUUUAAUCUUGUGGUUUCUUUUAGGGUUUCAUUGAGAAUAUAGUUUCCAUAAUGAUGGAUUAGGGUUUAUGUUCUUUAUCUAGGUUCUCAGAUUAUGUUUAUACCUUUGUUUCGUAGGGGAUUUAAAACCGGACCACCUGAGAAUGGAUAAAACAUCGAGCUGAGAAGAAUGGACGCUUGCUGCCUCCUAUCGGGUCGCGGAUGGAACGAUCGCGGGCUGGAGGCGUCUCGGCUGCGAGCUGCGCGGAGAUCGGGUCGUCUCGGGUCGAUCGCGUCACGGGUUUGAUCACGAGCUGGGCGGUUCUUCUGAGCUGAGAACGUGAUCUGAGAACGUCUAGGUUUCAAGAGGAAUCAAUUGAGUUCUUGAUUGAACUAAGAACGAGAUUAGAGUUUUAGUUUUGAGUCGCCGGUUAUAGGCUUUUAGGUUUCGAUUUAGGUCUCAGGAAUUUAGAGGCUAUCGUGCUGAUAACGUGUUGUGAACAAUAGGGGAAAUCGUAUGUUCUCAUUACUCAAUCAAAGUGUUCCCUUAUAUAGGGAUUACAAGGAAUAGAUAAAUGGAAAGAGUACAAAUCAUUAUCCUAAAGGAAAUAGGAAAUCUACUUAAAGAUAAACUUGAAGAGAAAAGGAAAUCAUCAUAUACUAUAGACGGUCUAAUCUUUAGCCGCCUCUCUCUCCUUCUUGGACGCGGUCUUGGACAUUGGGCCUGGACGCGGUCCGUUCUUCCUUGAUAUGGUUACUAGCAAUCCACAUUGUUCAUAACAAUAAACACUCCAAUGGAUUAUUUUUGGCUAGUUAUUAAAUAUCCGAGUACUACAAUCUAAAUCUACAUGUUUUCGUAUGAAAUAUGUUGAGUAUGGAUCAUAUCCUACCACAAGGCCCACAGAAUAGCUAGCCUGGCCACAAUCAGAGGAAAGAGACUCGGUUUGCCAGUUUAUAGACCGUCUCGAGACUGCUUUUAGUCGAUCGAACGAGCGACCGAAAGUAGUCGACUCGACGGCUCGACGCAGAGGCCCGAUAGCUCGGCCCAACGAAUGGAAAUCCCAUUGAAUGAGGGCGAAUUAGGUCAUCGACUAGACGUCUACAUAAGGAGAGGUAGAAGCAGCGAAAAGAGAAUUUGAAAUCGCCUACACAUACUUUCGGCGGCUAGAACUAAAGUUUCAUUUUUCUUUCUCGCCGACUUGUAUUUCCCGGCGAACUAACUUUCAUCGAUUUGCUUUCUACCGCAUAUUUCCUUAUUUGUAAACCGACUAAACAUUCUUUGAUCUAAUAAACGUCUUUGUUUUGAUCCACCGACGAGUUCUCGUCUCUUUUACUUGUUUCCGACAAUUCUCGGUUCAAACGGAAUAUAAACUACCAAAUUUACAAGGUGGCUUGUUUGAUAAUAUGCUUGAUCCGCCACCUUUUGAUGAGUCAAUUUACCUUUAAUUCCUUCAAAUUCGAUCUGACAAAUCAACAAAUACUUUGAUUUGAUGUUUCAUGAUUAAAGUAUGUAAUAUCAAAUAAUAUAUGCAAAGUAAAAUCUAACUAAUAUUCACAAACUCAAUUUGAAAAAAAAAUUCAAAAUAUAAUAUCAAUGGCGUCUUUAAAUAUCUACAACUUAAGCAUAUUAACAUAAACUUGAUUAACAAAAAUUAUUUUAUUCUGAAUAAAUAUAAAAUUGGCACCCGUAAUCUUGUAUCCCAUCAACAAUACGUUUUAUACAAAAUCUAAUUCAAUCCAUUUGAGAGUACCCUAUAUAAUACCAUACAGUAAAUGUUUUAUAAGUGUUAAAAUUAUGAUAUUUUAUUAUUAUAAUAAUUUAAAUAUAUUUAUAUAUUUAAAAUAUUUUUAUAUUAAAUAUUAAAGUAUUUUUAUUGUAUUAUAUAUUUAUUAAAUUUGAUAGAUGUAUUUUAAUCUCUUUCUUAUUAUUUUUCAUUUUUAUGUAUAAAACAAUUUAGAAUGUAAAUGUGUUUUCAAUGUACUUUUACAAAAUAACACUAAACUAUUAUAAUAAAAAUAAAAAUAAAACAAACAUUAUUUUAAAUUCUUUAUAAAAAUUUAUGUAAGAUUUGUAGAUGGUAUUUUUGGUUACCAGCAUAAAAAGACUCGGUUAAGACUUUGUUAACUAAAUAUAGGAUUCAAUGUCUAUGAAAACGAAGUAGGUUGGUUGACAUCUAACUCCACGUGCAAGACUGUAUGACUUUGUGUUUUGAGUCUUGGAUACAUGUGGGAUCUCGAAAGUUCUCUGAUUCAUUGAAAUUUUCUCUGAUUCGUUGAAUGGUUGGGUUCCAUUCUACUCUAAUGAGAUUUGGCUUCCUUCACAAUGUUAAUUCUGUUUCCGCAAGUUACAAUGUAUCUUGGAUCUCUAUCAAUUCUAUUUAAAAUCUUAUCGUUUUGCUCUUUCCAGAUGUACUAAAGAAUCCAGGCGAAUUGUGCAUCUUUAGUGCGACGUAAUCCUCCAAAAUUAAUAAUCCAUGUUCGUGAAAACUGACUGCAAAAGAAGCUACAUGGGUGCGUGGGUAUCCUUGAUAACAUCUAGAUCUGAACAACGGAUGGACAUUCAAAAAAAAUAUGAUUUAUUGAUUCUUCUUCUGCUCUAUAUCUUUGACAAUGAAAUCACAUUCUAUUCCUCUUGAUUGAAGAUUCUUCCUGACCAGUAAACAACCUGAAUAAUUUGCCGAAAAAUACCUUACCCUUGGGGAACAUUUUAUUUUCCAUGCGUGUACCCGAAGGGUCUUAGUAUUAGGCCUGAAAACUAGUGGUUGUCUGGAUAGUAAGGACGGUCCAGAGAUUUUGGAGGCCAUAGGCGAUUUAGUUAAGAUUUCAAUUUAAAAAAAAAAAAUUGAAGGCCUUUUCUAUAAAUUUGGAGGCAUAUGUCUAUGUAAUAUUUUUCAAAAUAGUUGGGGACUCUAGGCGAAUUUUCAUCCGGUUUUUCCUAAGACCAGCCUUGCUAGAUAGAGAUGUUCCAAUUCACAUUCAGUUUUAACCGUAUAUAUUCUAGACUGUGUAAAAUAACAUAUUUAUCUGUCCACCGUAGAACAUUGACUUAACGAGAUACUUUCAAUAAGGAUUGCUGCUUCUGGUUCUAUCAGUGUCCUUUUUUUUUAUCAUCAACUUAUACAGAUUCAUACUGACUCUGUGAACCAAACUGGAAGAUCUUGAUCCUUAAACCAUCAAUGUCCUUAAAAUAUGAUAAUUUCACUUAAGAAAUAUAGGGUUGAUGAGCAAUAUAUAUGGUAAUUGUUGAUUAUAAUUUUAUUGAAAUCAUAUAUUUACCUAAUUUCUUCUAAAAGUGUUAUUUUUAUAUUAUUAAAUUAUAUUAUAUUUUAAAAUUUAAAAUAAAAUUGAACAAUUGAUUAAUUUAUAUUUUUAAUUUAUUGAAUGUUAUUUUAUUGAGUUUAUAUUGUAUGUUACUUAACUACACUUUUAGCUUUAUUGAACAUAAUGUUUAAGUCAUAGUGCACCCAAACAGAAUAUCACAACCAUAAGCCAUCGUAUGUUUAUACACUAUAAAAAUUUAUUAGAUUAGUUACUAGUUGUUUUUUUUUUUUUAUAUCCGUGGGGAUCAGGCGACCGAGGUCAACCGACUAAUCCCACGAGGUCCGCAGCAGCCACGUGAUUUCUACCCCAGAAAUUAGCAGGGUUAAGGUCCGGGUGGCCAACGCAAGUCGAACCUGCGGAGAGCGUAUUGGAUCUGGUCCUCAACUAACACUAGGCCAACUGUGUUGGUUAAUUAGUUACUAGUUGUUGCAAGGUAAUAUAUAUAGUUCACAAGAAUGUCACUCUCUCGUCUCUCCCUAUCUUCUCGAAAACGUUGACCAAAGUGCGAAGAAAGACUCCGGUCGUGGCUGCUCCUUACUUUUCUCUUGGGCGACUCUAGACUCAUGUGUGUUUUAUAUUUUUUUGUUUCUCUCAAUAAUUGUCUAAAUUUUGGUACUUACAUAAUCAUGAAUAAUAUAUUUUAAUAAUAUAUUAAAUUUUUACUCGCACUUUAAAAGCGCGGGAUAUAAUUUUUUAAUCAUUAGUUUAAUUUCAUUCUGCUUCAAUUUAAUGUGCGACAAAACAUUUAGAUUUCAAAGUUUGAUCUGUUCCGUUUAUAUUAAUCAAACUAUAUAUUUUAUGGUUUUAGAAUUAUGUUUUAAAUUUAUAAAAUAAUGUAUUUAAACAUUUUCUUACGAAUAUCAAUUUCAUAAUAAGUAUUAGUAUAAUUUUAAUUCUUAGUAAUUUAUGGUCCUUUUUAUCACACUUACACAUGUCUUCUAGCAAUAUAUCUUGUUGGAAAAAAACAUUUGACAAAAUUUGAUAAGGCACAUUAAAAAUUUAAUCAAAAACAAAUUUGGAUAUUAAUAAGAAGAUAUUAUAUAGCUACAUGUAUUUAUAUAUUGGAAUCGAAGAUAUAUAUACAAUUCAAAAUAUAUAAAUACAAUGGCCAUUCUAAAUACAAAGAAUUAAAUACAUAUUUUUUGACAAAAAAGAUACAUAUAUUUUUCUCACCCAACGAUUUUUUUGCAUUACACAUUCGUUAUGUGUUUAAUGGUAGACUUUACAUUCAUAAUUAUGUUAGUAAAAAAAUAGCCAAGGCCCACAUUACGUUUUAUUUGCAACCAUAAGCGACUUUUUGACUCUUUACUAAACAAUUUAGGUUUAGAAAAAAAAAAUUAAGUUUAUGCAUCCAUGUAUGUGUGUGUCUGCGGGCAAAUGUCUACUAGAAAUUGAUCCUCAGAUCCGUGUGGACGUUUUAACACAUUUCAGAGAGAUUAAAAAAAUUGUAUACACCCUCCGUAUACAAAUGUAUGAUAUUCUACCUUUUUAUUUUGUAUACAAAUCUAUGAUGUUUUAUGAUAUACUUAAUUCAUUUCUCUUUAAAAAGAAACAUAAAUUAAACACGAAAUUAUGAAUGACGAAACUUUAUUGAUAAAAUCAAAAAGUAAUAACCAAAAGAGUAUAUCUAUUGUUUUUUAAUAUGUGUGAAAAAACUUAAACAUCAUAUAUUUGUAUUCAGUGGGAGUAAUAAAUUAUAAUGUAUUUAUUUAAUGUAUGCUUAAUUAAAUGAAAAUGGUUUAAAUAAAAAUAUAUUGGCUAUUCAAAAUAAAUUUAAUGUAUAAUGUUGCAUGAAAAUGUAGAAUGACACCUUUUGUAAAACAUGAAAACAACAUAAAAUGACAUUCUUUGUGAAACAGAGAGAGUAUUUGUUUUGCAUAAUUAGUGUUAUAUAUUCUAUAUGUGUCACCUUAAAAUUAAUUUUAUAUUGGUUAUUUGAAUAUUUUUAGAUUUCUAAACAUUAUAAUCACCCGAAUUGAAUCGGAUAAUAUGAUUGCUUUGGUUAUUUUGUUAUUUAAGUUAUUUUUAGUUUGGAUACAAAAUACUCAAACUGAAUCAGACAAUAUAGUUACUUUUUGUACAAAUAUCCUUAACUCAUUUCAGACACAUAGGUUAUUUUUGAUAUUUUUAGGUUCCUACACAUCAGAAAUUCUAUAAUAUCAUAACGGAGACUAAUUUCAAACUCAAAAAUCUAAUAUCCGAAAAGACAACAUUUACCCAAUCGUAUACCCGAAUAUCCAUGUUUAACUAAUUUUAUAAACAAUUUUUUUUUAAAAAAACUCUUUCUUAACCGUUUUGAAUUAUUGUCACAAAUAGAAUAAUUUAUUAAAAUAUAUCGAAUUUUUAUGGUUAACAUGCAAAAUAAAAUAUGUCGAAUUAUUAUGAAAAAAUAAUUAAUGAAAUAGUUAAAACAGAAAAAAUGUAAAAUAUAAUAAAACACCUAAAAUAGAUAAAUUAUAUUUUGUAUUUCAGUAAUAAAUGAUGUUGGGUUAUUUAGAAAAUAUAAUAAAUGAACUAAUUAUAACUAGUGAAAAAGAAUGAAAAUAUGUAAAACCUUACCUAAAAAUAUGCAAGAAUUAAUUCUCUAGUAAAAAAUUUAUAGUGUGCGUUGUGUUUUGUGAUUAUGCAUCUACGUAGUUUAGGUGUAUACUUACUACGUUAUCUUCUUUAACAAAAAAAAAUAAAUGGAAACAACCAUCAAUACUCAAACAUACAUUUUCUAUCAUAUUUGAAUAUGGAUAGUGAUAAGCAGCAUUAUUACAAAAUACUAAAGAAUAAAUCUCGAUCUUGCAAUAAUAAACACCUUUUAUCGUAAAAGAUGAAGUAUGCAUUAUUCGACACAAGUCAGGCGGCCUAAUUGUUUUAUUGGGUUAACAAAGAUAUCUUCUUAUUUUAUUUAUAGAAUCUUGUUACUCCCAAAAAAGUUCCACAAACUAAAUUAACAAAUAUUCUAUAAAUAACAAGAAGUUACAUCAACCGUGCACCAGCUAUUUUUUUUUUUAAAUGUACCACCGUGGGUCCAUGGCCAUGUUUUUGCAAAGUGUUUUUUAACCUUGACAUUGGGGCGGAUGGCGGCUUCGGACCCAUGCACUUUUUCCAAAAAAAAAAUUUUAUAUUCACACACUUUUUAAACAUUAAGGUUUAAUCUCUACAUAAUCUUAAUACAUUCUUUCGAAAUAAUAGCUCUUUUAAUCAUUAAUCUUGCAUAUUAUUAUUAUUGGAUCUGAGAGCAAUUAUAAGAGUGCAGAUCGAUGUACUAACCUUUUUUAGAAUUAAAUUUAGGGGUUUUGAUACCAUGUUAAAUGUUAUAACUUUCCAAAUUAAAAUUAAUUGGCAGUAAAUGGACUAUAUUCCAAAUCUAUUAUAUAUUGUUUAUGUCUAAGUAAAACUCUCAAUGUGAUAAUUUAUAUUUACAUACUCGGCUUAUGCCCCUUGAUCUCUGUAUAAUCCAAAUAGUUUUGUCAGGGAUUAUUUAUAAGCCAACUUAUGUACAUGAAUUUCAUCGUUCUAUCAAUAAGCUAGUAUCAUAAGCCAACUUUUUUUUUAAUACUUUUUCUCUUGGGUUUUAACAUCAGUCAGUCAGUCACAAAGUUUUAUAAUGUUAAAACGUCUGCUAGAUUUAUACCGAUGACUAUUGACUGCAAUUCGAGGUUGACCACUAAACCCCCACAAAUAAUAGUCUUUAACUUAUGGACUAUCUAUACGAUUACGAAAUAACACGUAUAAAAGUUUCGUUUAGAUUGCCCUACACAUCACUAAUAAUAAAAAAUUAUACACUAUUGUCACUAUUCCUGUAGUGGUCAGAGUUUUAGUCAAUUGUUUUAUGCCAUAUGAGUGGUUGAAAACGUGGCUUACGACACAUCAAAUCAUACGAGUUAGAUUAAAUCACGAGGGGAUAUAUGUCAGAUUCAUGAACUUCGUCUAUUUCGUUUUUCUCAUUAUUCAUAAUUUUUUAGUUUAAAUAAACACUAAACGACGAGUUUGGAUCCGCGUAGUAGGUCUAGGAGGAAUCGGAUAUCCGGACUAUUUUAAAGUAUCCGGAUUUGGAUCUUUAUCCGACGGAUCCAUAAUUUUAUUAUCUUUAUCCGGAUCCGGAGUUCUCGGAUAUCCGGGCGUGUAAUGUCCUUCUAAAAAAUGUAAUAUACGGCGGAUAUCCGGAUUCGGAUCUAGAUACUUAAAAUAAAUAAAAAUAAUAAUAUUAAUAUAUAUAUAAAAUAUUAACAAUAAUUUAAAUAUAUAUAUAUAUAUAAUAUUUUUAAUUAUUUCUAUGUAUAAUAUUACAAAAUUUACAUAAAAUUUACAUAUACUAUUAUAAAAAUAAAAAUAUAUUAAAUAAAAUUAGUUUUUAUAUAUAGAUAUUACUAUUUUUAAAAUAGUUAUUAAUAAAACUUAUGGAUCCGGAUAUCCGGACUAAAAUAUCAAGAUAUCCGGAUCCGGAUCCGGCUUUGACGGAUCCAACAUUUUAGUAUCUGGAUCCGGAUUCUGCCCCUCCAGAUAUCCGGAUUUUUGGAUCGGAUCUGGAUCUAAUCUCGAUCAAAUCCGGAUCUCGGAUAAAAGUCUCAGGCCUACCGCGUAGGGCUAUAUUCGAACUCAGAUUGCUUACCAGUCCAAAGUUCUGUUGGAAUGAAAAACUUUGUUAAGAUGGAGAAAGUGUUUAAGUGUUUGAAGAGAAAGUGUUUUGUUUGAAGAAGAAAGCUUUUUAUAACUUAAGAAGAUUUUUUAUUACAUGGAAGUUUCUUACAAGCUUGGAUAAUUUCUUGGUGAUACAAAAUGAAGGGAAGUGGAGGUAUUUAUAGCCUCCAUAAUACAAAAAUAUCUCAAAUAUUUUAAUCCUAAAUCUAGAUAAUUCUAACAUAAUAUCUAAAUUUUUUUUAUUCUAAUUAUCUAGAUUUUUCUAUAUCUAGAUUUUUUUUAACUUAAGGAGAUGAAAGAUUAUUCUAGAAUUUGGGUUAAGGUUUUGGAUCAACACAUGACUAGCCCAAUAAUGCUUAACCCAAAUCAAGUUUACUUUUCAACACCCCCUCUUAAACUUGAUUUGGUUACUCUGAGUAAGCUCCUCAUCUUGACAAAGUCUUCCCGCUUGAGUGGCUUGGUGAAGAUAUCAGCUACUUGAUUGAUGUGCUUACUCCGAUCAUGGAAGACUGGAUUCUUUGCCAAUGUUAUUGCCGACUUGUUAUCCACAAAGAUCUUCGUUGGCUCCUCUUGUGGUAGGUUCAACUCCUUUAGUAAGUUCCGUAACCAAAUAGCAUGGCAAACACAUGAAGUAGCUGCCACAUACUCCGCUUCACAAGUAGAAAGAGUGACAAUUGGUUGCUUCUUUGACAUCCAUGUGAAAGCAGAUUCUCCAAUGAAAAACACAAAGACACUUGUGCUUUUCCAGUUGAUGUCACUCAAAUUACCCUAAAGAGUGAAUUUACUCUCUCAAAUAAGAAGUUCAAUUGUAGUAUCUAGGGAUCGAAUCCACAAGGAGCUCGGGAACCUAAUAAAUCUAAUGGGAUUUGUUAAGUUGGAUGGUUUAAUGAUUAAAAUGUAAAUUUGCAGUUUUGUUGAGGAAGUAAUUGCUCCAUUGAUUGGUUGAGGUUUUGGUGCUUAAAAGAAAAUAGCUAGACUUAAGGUUUUUAUUAAGGAAACAUGGAAUUAUAAUCCUACAGAUGCCUAAUGAGUUGUAUGCAUGAUAAUGUAGAGCUCAACUACUAAGCAACAAGUCAGUCAGCUCUCGCGUUUCUCGACUUGUCUAUUAACUAGAUCUAAUGACCCAAACAAAUGUGUUCGAUCAAUAGCAAGUGUCGAUCGAUUAUCCUAUAGGGAUAUCGAUCGAUACAUCUUUCACCCCGUCGAUCGAUUAUCCAAUAUGUAUAUCGAUCGACGCGCUUCUAGUUAAGCUUUAUGCAUUAAGCUCACUAGAUCAGCUCUCGCCUUACUCUUAGCAAGAAUCUUAGCUCAAUUAGAAUGGUUUCAGGAUGAGAAUGAAUCUAUCGCUUUUAUCUAACAAUCCUAGGGCAAGUUCUAGGUAGCUAAUCUAGAAUCAGACAUUAAUGACAAUCCUAAUGAUUAUUAUCAUAACUCAGCAAUCUAUAGUUGGGGCUAAUUCCUCAUAACUUAUUUAAACCCUAAAAUCUAACAAUGGAACUACUCAGACAUGGCCAAGCAAAAUUCAUAACAUCAAUUAAGUAAGAAAACUUCAUUAGAAUAGUAAAUAGAUAUCAAUGGAGUUCCAAUCACAAAUAUAACUUUGGAUCUUCUUUCCAAUCUAUCAAAAUCCUAAAAACCUUUUGCUGAUAAUAGUAAAACUAGAAACACAAGAAAACACAUUUUGGCUCUAACAUGGUGGCAAAGCUUAUAUAAUUAGGUUAAAACUCGUCAGGGGUAAUCUUGUAAAUUGGUGAAGACUUGGGAUUCAAGUCGGCUGUGACCAAACAGGUUCUGAUGUGAACAUCGAUAGAUAUUUGUUCCUCAAUAUCGAUUGAUGGUCGAGCUCGAUGGUCAUCUCGGAUGCUUACUCCAAAUAUCUCCAAAAUAUUCAAAAACCAUCACUUAUCUCCAAACCACUCAUGAUCUUAUAAAUAUAAUAAAUAAACUCUAUAAUAUAAUAAUUAGUAGUAAAAACACCUAUAAACCAUGGGUGAAAGUGGGUCAAAUCCAUGGUCUAUCAACUUCUCCAGACUUACCCUUUUGCUUGUCCUCAAGCAAAACAAACAUGCAGUCUUCUCUCUGAAAGAAGUUUGAAAACAACAGGGACUCACACAAUUUUAAACUUAGAAUCAUCACUUCUACAAUAUUGCAAUCCACAUCUAAGAAGUUCUAAUCACAAAAGCACAUUGUACCAUAUCCUAGCUUAGCAACCAAAUUCACCUAGCUAACAACUUAACAAAUCUUGUCUGACAUUCCCCUCUACCAACCUCAUUUCUUAGUAUAAAUAAAAGUGCAGGCUUUACCUUGGGAGUAUCGAUCACAUGAUGCAAGGAUUUUCAAACAAAUAUCUGGACCGCAGGUAAACAUUAGUUCAUAUCCUCUCUCUUUACUAAUUUUCUCUCUUAGUCAAAGUCUGCUUAUAUUUGCAAAUUGACUAAGAUUGAACAGGCUUCCAUGAAUCAAGCCUUAAUGGUGGUUGUCACCAAGUCCUAUUCACUUCUUUUUGACUUAUAUCCUAGGAUUAUUUGUGAAGCAAGCUUUAAUGGUUGUAGCCACCAAGUCUUGUUCUAAUCUUUUACCUAUAGAAUUCUUAUGAAGCAAGCCUUAUUGGUUGUAGCCACCAGGUCAUGUUCGAAUCCCUUCCUAAUAAAUCUCUAAUAGAUAUGUGUAUAUAUAUAUAUUUAUAAUAAUUUUUUUUUAAUAUCUAUAUUUCGAAAAUAGAGAGAGAGAAAGGGUGAUAAAUCUAUAUACACAAGGGUUCACCUUCCAUACGUGUUUGAAGAAUCCGAUCCCAUGUAUAACAAGCCCCAAGACAAGCAGUUAUGUCAAGUUUAGUGUUGGAGGUCAGCUUUGGUUCUUUUAAACAAUCUCAGCAAGUGUAACAUAGUUGACAAGUUGAUCCACUUUAGUAUCUUUAUUACUAUCUGCAAUCAGUAAGUUCUAGAAUGGUGAUAAAGAGUGGUUAGAUAACAAGCAAAAAUCUAAUAAGCUCAUUAUCCCUUUCUUGACUCAAUAAAAACUUUAUGUUUGAAAAUAUUUUUAAAAUUCAUGAAUAAACUAAUAUCAUUAAACCUCAACCCAGACUUAAACUACACUGUCCCCAGUGCAAACUCAGUCGGAGUUAUGGUGAUAAUUAAAUCACAAGUACGUAAUGUAACAAGUUAUAACGAUAUACCAGACCGGAAUGUAUGUCGACCGAUGUAAGGAUGUUGAUAUCAGUCGCGACAGGUGAUGCUAUGUCGAUCAAUGUCGAUAGUGUCUCGUCGGUCGACUCACGGCAAUCGUCUACUCGGAUCUUUUUUUUAUGACAUGCAAUAAUUAAAAACCAACAUAAAUAGUAGAUUAAUAAAAACCAAAUAAAUAUUACCUAACAGUGGGUUGUCUCUCACUCAGCGCUUUAUUAUAGUCAUUUAGCUAGAUUUUGGAGGUGAUUUGGGCUAGUUAUGUUGAAAGCUGGCACUUGUUGGGAAACAAGUCUCCAUCUCUUCUUUGCACUUGUUGAACCAUGUACCAGUGAAGUCUCGCAUUGCUUCAUCUACUCUGUGCCAUCAGUCCUCCAUUAUUGUAGUUGCAUCUUCUAUCUUCUGUAAUCUAUCUCCACGACUCUCAAGAUGGAACUGAUGUCUCAUAAAUGUGGCGUAUGUGUCAGCUAAGAUCUCCUCUCCAUGGUUGUGUGUGUCAAACAUGUCUGAUGUCACAUUUUGUACUAGCCUCCCUCGCUUUGUAGUGUCGUCAACCGAUGUCUGUCUGUGAGUGUCGGUCGAUUUAUUGUUGCAUCUGUCGAUCGAUGCUGAUGCUUCUGGUCGACGGGCAAUGUAACUCUGAAUCACCACUAAUUCCCCUUGAAUAGCUUCAAUCUGGGAAGUCAAAGCACUAAUGCUAAGAUCCAUUGGGAAAUAUAUGUCAUCACAUCUCCUAUCAAGCCUCUCUUAUGUAGUUUUCAGAGCCCUGUAGAUACCUUCUACUAACUAAUCUAUCUCUUCCCUAGUGUGAAAAUAUGGUUGAGACUUCAUCGUAUGUGAGUGUGGUGGAUUGUCGUCGACCGAUGCUGGUACGUGGUUGUCGAUCGAUGCAUGUAAGCGACUGUCGAUCGAUGCCUAUCGAUGUCUGUCGAUCGAUGUAGAGCGAGACACGUCGGUCGCACGCUGAAUUCUGGCUAUGUCUUGCCUCAUCUCUUCCAUGAAAGUAGUUAGCCAACUGAUACUAUCAUUCAAUGGAUAGUAAACUCCAUUAAGCUUCAUCUGGAAGUCUUCUUUGUUAUUCUCUUGUUCUCCACAGAUUCCAUAGAACAUCUCAUUGAUCUCGUCCUUAGUGUAGAUUUCUGGUACUAGCUUGGUUUGUGUGAAUGAGCUAGCAUGUUCUAGAAGACAUAUGUAGUUGUGCUCAUCUCUCGAAGCUCUUUCCAGCAGUCUUCUGAUAUCAUUGUUAUGAACACGAAUGGUGUGUCCAUCUACAUCUGGUGUAUCCCUGAUCAUCUCUGUUGAUUCCAUACUCAUCCUUCUCUUCCCAGUAGAAUUUCUAGUACCGAAAAUAUCAAGGCUCUUCUGCCAACUUCAGGACGUCUGUCGACCGAUGUUGGGACGUCAACGUCGAUCGAUGGCCGAGUAGGGUGUCAAGACUUCUGUUUGAAGCGUUUAUCUAUGUCACCAGCUGUGUUAUAAAACUCCUUUGUAACCUUCUGCUGGUGUUCUGUAAUAGUGCGUUGUUGCAUGUAGAGGUUGUCUGCCUCAUUGGCUGUCUGAAGGAUGUCUGCAAUAUCCUCUCGAGGUACGUGCAGUGUACGCUCAUCUAUUGCUUUCGCGUAGCCAUCUGGGUCCUUGAAAAUACCAAAUUUAUCUGGAGUUAGAUACUGGUUAUCAAAUUUAUCUUUUUCGCUUACGGUGGUUUUUGGUUUUGGACGGCUGUCGAUCGAUGUUGUGUGGUUGAUGUCGAGCAAUGUUGAAGGAUUGAUGUUGAUCGAUGGAGGAAUGGCUCUGUCGAUCGGAUGGCUGAAAUAUGUUCUUUCCCAAGCUGCUUCUGCUCGUUUCUGAUCUGUUUCAUCGCAUCUUUGCAUGUUGAGAAGUUCUUCGUAAGUGAAACCCUCAUGAAGUUCAUCAGCUCCUUAAUCACGGUAUGUUGUCUCUACUGCGUAGCUCUCAUGAUGGCGAUCAUCUGCCCAACUUCCAAUUGACUAAUCUGCGUCGACGUUAGUGUCGAUGGGUAGUAGGCUUCUUGACUGGAAUAGGGUUGUAGUGGACAUGAGGAUCUAUGAGCGUUAGGCACAACCGGUUGGUUUGCAAGUUGCAUACUGCUCCUACUGUUGACAAGAAGGCUCUUCCAAGUAAUAUAGAAGAGUUCCAGUUCAGCUUGAUGUCCAAGACAUGGAAAUCAACUGGAACUAGGGCAUUACCAAUCUGCACCUCUAGGUCUCUCACAAUUCCUCCUGAGUUUCUCUGAGAACAAUCCACAAAAGUGAAUAAUUCCUUGGAAGGCUCCACCUGCAAACCUAGAUGGUCUGCUGACUGAUGCUCCUGUGUCGCACAAGGCAUGUGAGAAUUCAAUACCCUUCACCGUGCAUGGUAUUGCAAAUUGCCCAUGAUCACUCUUCUUGUUGGGGUCAAAAAUGGUUACGACGAAGUUAACAUUCAAAACAUUCGAAGAAGAAAAUGAGAACUUUCUUCGAUAAAUACUUUUUUGAAAUAGAUACUUUCUUACAAAAAGAUUUGCGGAGAAAACACGAAACAUCAGACAAGAGCUCGAAAAAGGUCGCUACGCAACGACCGAACGCGUGUUCUACUCGGUCGCUACGUAGCGACCGNNNNNNNNNNNNNNNNNNNNNNNNNNNNNNNNNNNNNNNNNNNNNNNNNNNNNNNNNNNNNNNNNNNNNNNNNNNNNNNNNNNNNNNNNNNNNNNNNNUCCUUUAGAAGUACGCUCGGUCGUUACGUAGCGACCAAGCUCUUUUGAAACAUCGAUACGACAUUAGUCCAUGCGUUCUCGUCUACCCGUCGAUGCUAUCUCCCGAAGACCGUAGCAAACCCAUUUCACGAUUCCCUGCCAUUCUAAGUUAUCAAACUUUACCGUAAAAACCGCGGAAAGUUCGUUCUUUACCGAAAGAAGCCAUAAUAAACGUUUCGAGUCAGAAGACGGCCCAAAGGGACCUAAGACAUGACUCGAGGCCCAACUUAUGAUUUCUUAACCAACAGCCCGUAAGCCGCAUGAUGGUUUACGUUUGGUUCGCAAGGAAAGAUAAAUGUCAAGUUUCCGCAGAUAAAUACGAAAUUUUGAAGAUAAUUACGAAGAUCGGAAAAAAUGGAAUAUCUCUAUUUUUGUGCUACGACGGCUUAAGGGCAGAAGAGGAAAAGCGUAAACUGACCUAGGAGCUAGUAUAUAAGGAGUCCUAGGCGAGAGGCAUGGAGAGAAAUUUUUUGGAGAAAACUUAGCACUUAAAGCAAUUAGGCAACUUUCCGUUUUUGUUAUUUCGAGCUGCGACUCAAUUAGGUUUAGCCGUCUUAGGGUUGCUAGAACUAGGAAUCUCGCCGAUAGCUCUCGAGCCUAGGCUUAUAUCUUGUUGUAAACGCUCAUACGCAAACUCGGAAUAAGACUUCUCUUUGCUCUCUUUUUACGAUAUUUAUACUUUGUCGCUGUUAUCUCGUGUUCUGAUUGCUUAGCGUGUGGUAUUAACAGAUCUCCGGGACCUCUGGGAAUUUAGGGUUUUCCUAGUUUCCUAAUUUAAACGGAAAUCGACAGUGCGAAUUUCGGUUCCCACAGUUUGGCGCUAGAAGGAGGGGACUCUACGGAUCAAUCUAACUCGCAAAAGCCACUCAACGAUCAGGAACGAUAUGCAAGACUCGACGUGCGCAAACGUCAUCCCGUUCAAGGGAGAGCAAUGGUCGAUCGAGCCAAACCUCGAAACGAUCUCCUUGUUAUCGAGCUGACGAUCCGAGAUGUCGACGUCGCUAGGGUGCUAAUCGACACCGGAAAUUCGGCCGAUAUCAUCUUCAAGGAUACUCUCGAGAAAAUGGAGAACGAUCAAUCCGAAAUCGUGAAAUACCUUAGCCCACUACUGGGACUUUCGGGAGAAACAACCAUGGCCUAUGGGUCGAUUAAUCUCGCAGUCAAAGCCGGAACUGUGACAAGAGUCAUAGAGUUUCUAGUCGUUGACCGUCCCGCAUCUUACAAUGUUAUCAUGGGAACGCCAUGGUUGAACACCAUGCGUACCAUCCCAACAACGUACCAUCUUUGCCUCAAGUUUCCAACCCCUAACGGAGUCGAGGUAAUAUGGGGAAACCCAAGAGUAUCACAGGUGUGUUACGCCGCAAAACAAAAACGAAAAAGACCAGACCUCGAUACCACUCCUAGAAAAGCGGAGAAAAAGAUCUCCAACAAGGAUUCGCGAAGUCAAGAUUCAGCGGAACUCUUCUGGCAGUCUCGUAACAUCACGGCCCUAGAGGAAAAACGCGAACCAACUUGCGAACCUGUGGUCACAGUUUGUCUCGACAAAGCAUUUCCGGAAUGAUGCGUCGAGAUCGGAGCCAAUCUCCGCAAGCCUUUGAGGACAGAGACCAUCCCAACAACGUACCAUCUUUGCCUCAAGUUUCCAACCCCUAACGGAGUCGAGGUAAUAUGGGGAAACCCAAGAGUAUCACAGGUGUGUUACGCCGCAAAACAAAAACGAAAAAGACCAGACCUCGAUACCACUCCUAGAAAAGCGGAGAAAAAGAUCUCCAACAAGGAUUCGCGAAGUCAAGAUUCAGCGGAACUCUUCUGGCAGUCUCGUAACAUCACGGCCCUAGAGGAAAAACGCGAACCAACUUGCGAACCUGUGGUCACAGUUUGUCUCGACAAAGCAUUUCCGGAAUGAUGCGUCGAGAUCGGAGCCAAUCUCCGCAAGCCUUUGAGGACAGAGCUCAUAACCUGUCUAAAAAAGAACCUCAAUACUUUCGCAUGGGCUGCGGAAGAUAUGCCAGGGAGCGACAUUAACACAACGUGUCACGAAAAUAUCGAUCCGACCUUCAAACCCUUCAAACAAAAAAGGCGGAAGCUAGGACCCGAACGGGCUUCCGCGGUAAACGACGAGGUCAAAAAAAUUCUUAAAGUCGAGUCAAUAACGGAAGUGAGGUAUCCAGACUGGCUCGCUAACCACGUAGUAGUCGAAAAGAAAAACGGGAAAUGGCGAGUUUGCGUGGAUUUUAUCGACCUAGACAAGGCCUGUCCAAAAGAUAGUUUCCCUCUGCCACACAUCGAUCAAUUAGUAGAAGCAACGGCGGGUAACGAACUUCUGUCUUUUAUGGACGCCUUCUCAGGUUACAAUCAAAUUAUGAUAAACUCUGACGAUCGCGACAAGACUACGUUCAUUACGGAUCGCGGAACCUAUUGCUACAGGGUAAUGCCCUUCGGCCUCAAAAACGCUGGCGCAACUUACCAACGACUCGUGAACCGUAUGUUCUCUAAACAACUCGGUAAAACGAUGGAGGUUUAUUUCGACGACAUGCUCGUCAAAUCCCUCCAAGCAAAGGAUCACGUAUCACAUCUCGAGGAAUGUUUCGCGCAGUUAAAUUCCCAUAACAUGAAGCUCAACCCGACAAAAUGCAGGUUUGCCGUGGCAUCAGGGGAAUUCCUCGGCUACCUAGUCACAUUCCGCGGCAUCGAAGCUAAUCCAAAACAGAUCAACGCACUGAUCGAGAUGGCUUCACCGAAGAAUAAGCGGGAAGUCCAAAGGCUGACCGGUAGGGUCACGGCACUUAACCGAUUUAUUUCACGAUGAACGGACAAGUGCCUGCCUUUCUACGAUGUCUUACCGGGAAAUAAAAAAUUUGAAUGGUCGGAAGAAUGCGAAAACACUUUCCAACAGCUGAAGCGGUAUUUAGAUUCCCCUCCAGUCCUCGCAAAACCCGUGGAGGGGGAACCUUUGUUCUUGUACAUCGCUGUGUCGGCAACAGUUGUGAGCGGCGUCCUGAUCAAGGAAGAACGCGGCGAACAGAAACCUAUUUUCUAAAUAGGCAAAACCUUGCUGGAUGCCGAAUCUAGGUACCCGCUAAUGGAAAAAUUAGCAUGCGCGGUCGUAACAUCGGCCCGAAAACUAAGACCAUAUUUCCAAUCCCACAUGAUCGUCAUCCUCACGACUUUUCCCCUGCGGACGAGUCUGCAUAGCCCGAGUCAGUCGGGCUGAUUGGCCAAAUGGGCGGUCGAAUCGAGCGAGUACGAUAUCGAGUACCGACCGAGAACAAGCGCAAAAACACAAGUGCUUGCAGACUUCUUGGUCGAACUACCGACAUGGACCAUAAUUAACGAGGAACCAAAUUCCACCUGGCUCCUCCACGUCGACGGAUCCUCAUCCAAGCAGGGAUCAGGCAUCGGAAUUCGCCUCACAUCUCCGACGAGUGAGAUCUUAGAGCAAUCACUCAGGCUGGAAUUCCACGCCUCAAACAACGAGGCCGAAUACAAAGCACUCAUCGCAGGACUGCGUUUGGCUCACGACUUGAAGAUACGAAACAUCCACGCUUACUGCGACUCCUAGUUAGUGGCAAGUCAGUUCAGCGGAGAGUAUGAAGCCAGGGACGAACGGGUGGACGCGUAUCUCAAACUGGUCCAAACUCUAGCUCAAUAGUUUGUCUGUUUUGCCCUUAUGCGAAUUCCCCGUUCUGAAAACGUCCAGGCAGAUUCUCUCGCGGCCUUAGCAUCAAGUUCUGACCCAGGACUUAAAAGAGUAAUUUCGGUCGAGUUCAUCGAACAUCCGAGCAUCGGACCACCAAUCGUCAUCAACCUCAUAGGAGGUCAAGAUGACGAGGAAGAAGAAGUUACGAUACAACCGCAAUCGUAGCAAUCUGAUUACGGCUGCGAUACCCCAUGGCUGCAGACAAUUCGAGACUACAUUAUCAACGGACACCUGCCCACCGAGAAAUGGGCAGCCCGCAAAGUCCGAACACAGGCCGCGCGCUACGUAAUAGUGGACAGUGAAAUUUACAAAUGGAGAUUCUCCGGACCACUCAUGACGUGCCUGGAAGGGGAAAAAGCAAGAAAAGUGAUUGAAGAAGUACAUUCUGGGUCCUGCGGCAACCAUUCCGGUGGAAGAUCGCUGGCAUUGAAAAUCAAACGCCAUGGAUACUACUGGCCGACGAUGAUCGGAGAUUGCGAGAAGUUCGCACGAAAAUGCGAAAAAUGCCAGAGGCAUGCUCCAACCAUCCGACAACCAGCCGAAGUUCUCUACUCCAUCACAUUGCCCUACCCCUUUAUGCGCUGGGCCAUGGAUAUUGUCGGACCCCUUCAUAAUUCAAAGCAAAAGCGUUUCCUUUUAGUCCUCACCGAUUUCUUUUCAAAAUGGGUAGAGGCAGAUUCGUACGUGAGUAUAAAAGAUGUCCAAGUCAAAAGUUUCGUAUGGAGAAACAUCAUCUGUAGGCAUGGAGUUCCUUACGAGAUCGUAACCGAUAACGAAUCUCAGUUUAUCUCCACCCGGUUCGAGGCAUUCUGCGAGAGGUUGAAGAUACGACUUAACAAGUCGAUGCCCAGGUAUCCACAGUGUAACGGACAAGCUGAAACGAUCGAUAAAACCAUUCUCGACGGACUGAAGAAACGCUUAGAGGCCAAAAAAGGCAGGUGGGCCGACGAACUCGAGGGAGUCCUCUGGUCCCACCGUACCACCCCGAGGCGAGCAACGGGAGAAACCUCUUUCGCUCUGGUGUACGGAACGGAAUGCAUGAUUCCCGUAGAAGUAGAGUUCCCUGGUGUUCGAAGAAGAUUACUUCCCGAACGAGAGGAGCUCAAUAACGUCAUGCUCUUGGAUGAUCUUGAUCUCAUUAACGAGCGCCAAGAUCGAGCGCUCAUCUGAAUCCAAAAAUACCAACACGCAGCCGCAAAGUACUAUAAUUCCAACGUACGGAAUCGCAGAUUUAAUCAAGGAGAUCUGGUCCUUCGCAAAGUCUUCCAAAGCACCGCUGAACGAAACGCGGGAAAACUUGGAGUAAACUGGGAAGUAUCCUAUAAAAUCGAAAAAGUCGUCCGACCGGGCUCCUACGAAAUAGCCAACAUGCAAGGCAUAAAAAUUCCAAGGACCUGGAACGCGAUGCAUCUCAAAAAAUACUAUCACUAAACAAACCAACUCACAAUGACCGAACUACGAGACGGCUUGAUCUCCAUAAGGAGUACGUAGGCAGUUUGUCGAAAGGCGAAAGGCAAAUUCAGCUGUUCCCCCUCAUUAAAAAGGGAGGGGGAGAGUGGAUACGUAUACUCGUAUACUCUCAAAUUCGAAAACAUCCGACCAUGUCUUCGAUGUUUCCGACAUAUCUUAACCAAGCAAAUUAUUCUUUAUCCGCAAAACAUUUUCGAUAUUUGGAAAUAAAUUAGCCGUUAGGGAGAAGCAGCCUUUGGCAUCGCGAGACGUCGCAAGAGAUGCCUCGAGAGUUACUUCUUCCCAACGACGAAAACGGACACUCCGUAAAAAAAAUGAUGAACAUUUUAACACAUAUUUUGCGCAAAAACUCCAAACGACGGUAUCUGCCGCCAAGUCCGAUGCUGAUCACAUCAAACUCUCGAACGUCCUAAAUAGACAUAGCCAUCUCACGAAGAUGACUCUCGUACAUCCGACACAAGGAUAAUAGCACUAUAAAAGAAACCUGGAAUUUUGGUCCAGCACUUCCGGUUGGCUUAAAAAUUGUCUCCGGAGAGAUGCUCGAUUCAUAUUUAACAAGUCAUGUAUGCCGAGAACCUAUCACGGACUUUAAAUCGGUACGAAUCAGGUUAAAAUCACGACAGAUAAAUCGAUAGCCGGCUAGUCACCGCACAAAAUCUUAAAACCGAAAGUAAACCUAGGUCUUGCCAUAAACCCAGCGCACUGGUUUCUAACAUCUCCAGGCAUGAUAUCCAAAAGAUAUGAGAUCCCAAAACCACGCCUCUAUGUUUAUAUUCGACAUCUUCAGAUAUCCCGUGAAAUCUAUAUCUUGCGGAAAAACUCUCGAAACGGAUCUCGAACAAAACAUUUCACAUCGAAGAAGGAUAUGAGACGACAACUCAUCAUCCUCCUUUCACGCCAAACGUAAACUUAUGAAAAAUGAAACUUGAUCGUCUUGUCCUAAAAAGAAAGCCACAGAGCGGCAGGGAUUCAAAGCCACAUACGGCCAGUCCCGAAAUAUGAAAUAAGGCCAUUUAAGGCCGAAACAUCAAAUAUAAAAAAAAAAUCUCUUGCAAGAGAUCUAACCAAAGUCAUCCUCAGAACUCACGCUCCCUCUUCACCUGUCACUUCAUCCAAGCCUGGAGCCGCAUCACCUCCGCUUUCUCCAAGCGCCGGAUCUUUCCCCUCUGGGCCUUCUGAACACGUCGGAAGAAAGCACGCGGAUUUCAGGUCAGCUAGGAUGAGAUCGAAAUCUCCAUCCACGACUGCUAAAUCUCCCUUGCAGCCGGACAGUCGGGCCUCUUCGGCCUCUAAGGUUGGAGAAGUCUCACUCUGGAACGACUGAACCACGGCCACCCCGCCCUCAAUCGUCGCCAAGGCAAAAUCCCUGUUCCGGAUGCACUCGAGGGAGCCCAGAAAGGCAGAGAUCUUCGCCAAGCGAGCGUGAAACUCAGAACAAAGAGCGUCUGUGGCCUCUCGGAUCCCGCGGCUCGCUAAUGCUGCAUCGCCCUCGAUCUGACGCUGAAGCUGACGCACCUCCGAAGAUUUGGCCUUCCUGACUUUCUUCUCCUUAAGCAGUGAACUCGCCGUUUUCCCGAGGUCCCUCUCGAGCUCCCCUAUAGCGACCUCGAGUUUCGACACUUUCACGGAGUGAGAAUCCUUGACAGCCGUCAGCAUGGCCUCGGUUUCAGACCAUCUACCCUGCAGCUCCAACAACUCCCCGGCAAGACGACUGGUCUCAGAACCGCACUCGCUGAUCAUCCCAUCGAUCAACGACAUGAACUGCGAAACGAGAAGAAAGUUAGGGAUUUUUUGUCUUUUAGAAAAAUAUAUAACAAUCAAGAGAUUAAGUGAGCGACAAACCUUUCCGCGAAGCCCCGACGCUAUGCUCGAGCCUCCUUGCUGCGAAGAUUCCCCGUCACCGCCCUUGGUAAACUUCCUCUUCCGGCCCUUAGGCUGAGCAACCGGAACAACACUAGGAGCGCGCAGCGCUAGAACGAUCUCUUUCCUGGCCGGAGGAGGAGGCAUAGAGUCAGCAGCCCUCUCCUUAUCCUCGACGAGAAUCGGAGUCGUGGACGAUCCGGCAGGUAGAGCCGAAGCAUCCGGAAUGCCCGAGCCUGCGAGAGUUCCCGUGUCUCGCGGAGUUACGACCUCGGUCCCGUGACCCGGAGCAAUGGCCAGUGCAGAAGAGGAUGGGAACUCGGCGCCAGCUCGAACCUGUUCCUUCUCGGCUUGGCGACGAACUAGUCUCUCUCGAAAGGAGAGAUGGUCAGCAACGCAAGCCGGCGCUUCGACCGGAGAAGUCGGAAUCGGAGCCGGAGAGGUGGCAUCGCCCAUCUCAACAUCGGAACUUCUCUUGUCACCGUGGGAAGAAGACAUGUUGAAGGCAAAAGAUUUGGAGCUAGAGAGGUUUUGGAGGUUUGAAGAAGGGAAGGUGUGAAGCAAAUGAAUGACAAGAGCUCACUACUUAUAGAAGUAUGGGCUCGGAAUUUUAUAUUUUUAAUAUAUACUUUCUCAAGAAUUUUCUUCCGCGGAGUUUAAAGUAAACUUCGUCCAAUACGCCUAACUUUCAAACCGCGCGCUAGAGUCUUGACUCUAACGAGCUGGGAGGCUAACUGUUGGGGUCAAAAAUGGUUAAGCCGAAGUUAACAUUCAAAAUGUCCGAAGAAGAAAAUGAGAACUUUCUUCGACAAAUACUUUUUCGAAAUAGAUACUUUCUUACGAAAAGCUUUGCGGAGGAAACACGAGACAUCGGACAAGAGCUCGAAAAGGGUCGCUACGCAGCGACCGAACGCGUGUUCCGCUAACGCAACGACCGAACGCGUGUUCCGCUCGGUCGCUACGUAGUGACUGAGCAGAACGGAUGCUCGGUCGCGACGUAGCGACCAAGCGUACGUCCGCUCGGUCGCUACGUUGCGACCAAGCUCUUCAGAAACGUCGAUACGACAUUAGUCCAUGCAUUCUCGUCUACUCUUCGAUGAUAUCUCCCGAAGACCGUAGCGAACCCAUUUCACGUUCCCCUGAGCAGAACGGAUGCUCGGUCGCGACGGGAAGCACCUGAUUUGAAAGUGGGAUAACCUUUUCUAGCCAACUCCUAUGAAAAUUAUUCAACUUCCUGGUGAUUCUCCACCACUUUAUGUAUCCAAAUCAAGCUUCUCACAAAGUGAUUCAUCCUGAUUUGAUUGGAACGACGAAGAAGCUGUGCUAUUCCCAAACUGGGAAACUGGAAUCACCUGAUUUGAAAGUGGGAUAACUUCUUCUAGCCAACUCCUAUGAGAUUUAUUCAACUUCCUGGUGAUUCUCCACCACUU